rnacentral:lncRNA from 1 species
AACACAAAAACAUCCCCCUUGUUCAGGACUUUGCUAAUGAAGCGGUGUUCAGGGUUGGAUGUGAUAAAGCCAACAAAGAGUGUUCCCUCCAAGACAAUGAAGACCUCACUGGCACGAGGGUGAAAGUGAGGAGGGUUUUGACCAUUAGGUUCAUAAUCGAUACGAGCCACUGACACCCCAAGAGUGUUUUCUCCUGGUAAUUGAUCAACAUUUAUAAGAUUGACAAUUGAGCCCACAUAAUUUGAUGUGUUUCCUGGAAUAUUCAGCCCUUGAUACAAGAAAUCCUCGGCCACGGUCAGGUUUGGGUUCUUGCAGAACUUCCCAUUUACAAAUACUGCAUGAAGAAGGAAAAAAGAAAAGAUAUAUCAUUAGUAUCAAACCAUACUCACCAUAUCAAUAAAAAGAGAAGUACUGAAAAUAGCUAUAAGAUCAUUGGUUACUAUAGAAAUACCAGCAUUAUUGGGCUCAUCAACGGCAACACAGGUGUCUUCCAGUGGGCUUGGAUCAUAGGCAGAGGCAAGAAAGGAAGCCAAUGCCAUGAAGGCCACGGUUACCAGGAAACUAACGCCUCUCUUCAUUGUUAGAGUACUGCCUCCAACAAUCACAAUCUUUAUCUUUAGGCGGGGAUAAGAAAUUUAGCAUGGAAAAGAUGUUAAUUUAUAGACCAGAGUCGAUGAGUUAGUCUUUGCAUAAACUCACCAAGUCUUCAAUGGGAAGUUUUUUCUUCUUUCUUUUUUCACUUUCGAGGACAAGCGGUUGCACCAAUACAUGUUGAUUUACGUAGGAUUAGUCAGUAAACAGAUCUUAACCAGAAUAUAAAGCAAUGUACAAUCAGGUGGAGGCAGGUCCAAUUUAAUAUCAAUCUGCAUGAUCCAAACGUUUACAUUGUUUCAACAUUUUUGUAUUAUGGUUUUUAUGAACUGUGUUUUUUUGAGUUGUAAGGAAGAAAAACUUAGGUUUAAAGUUCUAGCAUAGAAGAAAAAACCUGUAGAUUAAUUGAUUUUUUAAUCUGAACCAAACACAUGAUCAACUCCAUAAAAACAAGUGGAAAACAAGAAAAAAUGAAUGAUUUUUAAUAUGUAUUUGUGUGAGAAUGAUAGGUAUAGAUUUUUUUUUGAGAUAUACUGCCACAUAAUCUUCAUCCCUUCUAAAAAACGAGAGAGAAAAAAAAAAGAAUGAUUUUUCUGUUUGUAUCUAAGUGAGAAUGAGAUAUAGAAUUUCACUCCAGACGCAUUAAUUUUAUCUCAUACUGCCAUGCUAGACCAAAUCAGCCCUUAACGACAACCACACUGUUUUGUGGGGGGGGGGUUACUUUUGUUCCAUUAUAUUCACAGAAUCUUCAAAUCCAUUCUUUGGAUUAAUCUGCAUGAGGAAAUCUGUUACUGUUAGUGACGGAAACCUGUUAUUGUUAGUACCGGAGUCAACUGUUUGACUGGGUGGGUUCCAAUCAGAUCCUAAGGAAUGGGUCCAAAGGUCAUCCAUUAGAGUUAAUGGAAUUCAUUGUUGUUCUUGUGCCUUGAUGUGUGAGCCCAACACGCACAGAUGCAACUAGGGAUGGCAACGGGGCGGGUUUUUUCGGGUACCCGCCCUGCCCCGCCCCUAAUGGGAUGGGGUUGAAAUUUAAUAAAUGGGUUUUUAACGGGUAUAAGAUUUUUUUUUUUAAACCCGGGGCGGGUUCGGGUAUUGCCCCAUCCCGCCCCGCCCCGCCCCGCCCCGCCCCGCCCCGCCCCGUUUACAUAUAAAAUCAAUUUUAAAAUUUAAUUUAAUUUAAUUUAAAUUUUAAAAUUAAUUUUAUUUUACUAUUUUUAAUAUAUAGAUAAUAAAAAAAAAUUAAUAAAAUAAAUUAUAAAAAAUAUAAUAAUUUUAUUAUUUAUAAAUAUAUUUAUUUUAAUGUAAUUAAAAAUUUUAAAAGCAAUUUUUUUUUUUUUUAAAAAGGAGGCUAAACAGGGCUGGGCGGGGCGGGUUUGGGAAUUUCCCAUACCUGCCCCGCCCCGCCCCGCCCUGCCCCGUUUAAUUUUUUAAACGGGACGGGGAUGGGAAUUAUUUUUAAUAAACGGGGCGGGGUUGGGAUGGGGGCGACCCGUCCCGAACCUGCCCCGUUGCCAUUCCUAGAUGCAACAGUAUGAGUCAUGUGCAGGUAGAUUUGAAUAGACACAUCUUGGCAUCGGGAUGGCUUGAGCAAGGUGUAGUCUCCUACAAUAGGAAGCAUGGUGAACUGAUGCAUCACAUGAGCAAGACUCCUAUUGCAUGAGACAUACUCCUAUCACAUGAGACUUCUAGUCAAAGUGGGAGAUUGAGACCUAAUAUUGCAGGAAGAGAAAGGGACUCUUGACAUGAGAAGACUCCUAAUCGGGAUAGAAAACUAAAUCUUCAUGCAUAAGGAGAUAGAGAGAUGUGGCAUGAGAGUUUUAGAUUCAGUAGGACUUGGAGUCCUACUCAAAUUUGUCAUCUGUUAAGCUUGAGUCGGACGCAAACUAGGACUCAAAAGUUAGUCUCCUAGUAGGAUUAGGAUGGCUUGGUGCAACCUUCAUAAAAGGAGGGCGUGACCCAAUAGGAUGCUCCAAAAAUGGUACCUUACGUGAUAGGAAGGCCCCUUCAAAAGUCAUAUUGCUUGUACCACCAAGACACCACCACUAAGUAUUUGUCCAUAUCUUAAUCCAUGUGUGCAUGGAGAUGAACAUAAAUAUAUAUAGAAAAGAUAAAUAUUAGAAGACAAGUCUCCACAAAGAGACAAAAAUAUAGAAGGCUUCGGUCAACCAAUCCCGCUAUGCGUGGCAAAUGUUUCAGGGGACUGCGUAGGAUUGAACAGCCUUUGCUAGAGGGAAGAUCAAUCUAUGGGCGUGAAUAAAGAGAGAACUGGAGAAGUAUUGGAACAGGCGGGUCACCUCAGUUGACCAGGAAACAUGGCAUUAGUCAACGCAAACCUUGGCUUUCGAUCUCUACAUCGGUGCUGAAUAUUGUUGAACGGAAACACGUGGCCAGCUACAUUGGUUCUAGACAACAAAGGCUGCAACAAUUAACCUGAAAUUGAAAAUUUUGAAAUUUUUUUGAAAACAUAACAUCUUAAGAUGACUGGUAACCUUCUCUUAUUGGUUGGCUCUAAAUCAAAACCACUAUACAUGCAUUGUUCAAUGUAUAUAUGAUGUAGCAUUUUUGUGUUUUGUCUUUUACAAGUUGUAUAUAUUGGAAAAUUCUGACACCAUACAAAAACAUAGAAAAGCCACAAAUACCGCAACUUGCAUAUUUUCAUUUUAUGGCUGAAACUUUUCAAUGAAUCAUUAUCUUUAUUUCAAACUUUAAAAUUUUGAAAACAUAACAUCUUAAGAUGACUCGUAACCUUCUCUUAUUGGUUGGCUCUAAAUCAAAACCACUAUACAUGCAUUGUUCAAUGUAUAUAUGAUGUAGUAUUUUUGUGUUUUGUCUUUUACAAGUUUUAUAAAUUGGAAAAUUCUGACACCAUACAAAAACAUAGAAAAGCCACAAAUACCGCAACUUGCAUAUUUUUAUUUUAUUUUAAUUAUUUAUAGUUGAUUAGGUUUAUGGUAUGCCAUGUUGGAUGCUUUCAGAUUUUACAGAUCUAAGUUACUUUUAUUUUGAGAACGAAUAUUCCAUAAUUCAACCUUUUCCUUUUCUUGUUGGUAAUCAUGAUACAUAAAAUCUAGGAAUGCUAAACACAUCUUUUUUAAAAGUACUAUAUUGUAUUACAAUAGGAAAUGGCUUUUAUCAAAAGAGAAAUAUCCUUAAAUUGAUUAGGCCUAGCUCAUACUUUCAUCAACCAUAUGAUGACAUGAAAAAAAUCAAAGAAGAAAUAUGGGAAAUGGUACGAAAAGAGAUGGGUAGUAAUAACAUGAGACAACAACUUGUUUUACAACUAGUUGUAGCAGAAAAACCAAUGUUUAAAAUGAUAGAAGAGCCCCAACCACCAGAACCACCACUGAAACACAAGGUAUGCAUUUACUUACUAAUAAUACAAGAUUAAUAUAAGUGACAUAAAGCCUAUGUAAAUGAUAUUAUUUGUUGUAUUGAAGGUAAUUAAAUGUAAAUUAGCAGUGGAAAGAAAAGAAAAUGUUGUUCCAACUGGUACACUAAUAGAAGAAAAAGGAUCGAAUAGGUUGGUUGUAAUAAAUGCUGCACACAAGCCAGAUGCUAGACUCCCAUUUCCAAAUCCAUAUGAGAUUAUCAAUGUUGGGGAUGCUAUUGGCUUUGAGCUUGACUGGCCAACAAGCCUUGUCAUACUUGAAACUGAACAUCCUUAGGUAUGUCAUUUUAUGCCUAUAGUAAAUUUGAUUGUAACUUGGUAUUUUAUUGUUUAGGAGUAUAUAUAUCUAACAUUCCUUCCUUUUUCAUAGGUGUUGGAUAAAGGAAAGAAGAAGAUAGUGAAGACACCAAUUUUUUGAAAAUCUAAGCCUCAAAAUCAUUCGGUCAUUAAAAAUUUUCAAAAAUUUGUGGAUGGUUGUCUUGGUAAUGACAAGACAUACCCAAUACAGCUCCCCAUUUCACUUUUUGGUGUCGAAUUUCAAACAUAUAUAUCUAGAGAGGAUUGUGAAUACAUUAUUUCAUCUUUAGAGGUGUCAUCAAACUGCAUCUCCUUCUAUUUAUGGUGUGCACCUUUUAUUUUCAUUUGUUUUUAUUUUUUUAAAUAUGAGUUGCCCAUGUUGAACGAAAUUGGAUAUGACUAAUGAUAAUUUUCUUUUGGUGUUUUGAUACAAUAAUAGGCACAUGCAUGAUCAACUACAUAUUGCCAAAAAGGAAUCACAAUUUAUAUUUGUUAAUCCUUUUACAAUAUCACGAGCAAGCCUUAGUACUCAUCAAACAGAGAAAAGAGCACAAUUGUUGUCAAAACGCUUAAUGGAGUGCCAAGAUGCUAAAUAUGUUUUCAUACCUUACAACCCUGAGUAAGUGACAAAUAUUAUACUUUAAUUUGAGGUUUUAUGAUUGAUUUAUAUUUCUAAUUAGACGCUACUUUUGUUUUUAAUGUUUUAGCUUUCAUUGGGUCUUGGUGGUGAUUGAGCCAAGGAAAAUGAUAGUCCACUAUCUUGACCCUAUGCAUCACAAACUAUUUGAGGACUUAAAGAAUAUCGUAAACAUGUAAGUUCUUCCUAUUAUUUUUCAUAGUAUUAUUUUUUUUUUUUUAUAAAAAAUACAUUCAUCUCAAACACAUUGAACUUAUUUACAUAGGGCACUUCGAAUAUCUACAAAGAAAACAUCUAAAAGGGAGCCAUCUUGGCAACUAGUGCAGGUGACAUCCAAAAAAUUUUCUUUACACAUUAGCUUAUGCAUUUGCACCAUUUAUAUAUAUGAGUACUAAUGUUAUUUUAUAAUUGAUCGAUUAGUGUCCAAGACAAGAAGGAGGGUUCGAAUGUGGCUACUUUGUUAUGAGAUUCAUAAAAGAGAUAAUUUUUUAUCCUACAAUUAUUGCUUCAAAGGUAUUACAAAUUUAAUGAAUUGUACAUAGUUUUAGGCUUCCAAAUGUUAUGCAUUUUAAUGUUAUUUUCUUAUUUGAUUUCAGUUUGGUGAUAAAAAAACAUAUUCUCAAGUAGAAUUCGAUGAAAUUAGAGAAAAAUGGGCUACUUUUGUGCUACAACUAAUCAUGAAUCAUGUUGAUGCAUCAUGAUCACCAUGCAUGGUGAGUCCUUUAGCUACUACAUGAAUUUUUCCAUAGGUUCUUUGAAUAAUGUUUCUAUUUGAAAAAAAAAAAGAAAAAAAAAUAGUUCUUAGAUUUUUUUCAUUUAUGAUAACAUCGAUCCAUGUUUAUUUUCUUCAAUAAAAAUCUAUAAAACUCAUUAAACUAUGAAAUGCAAGUAUACACUUUUGGGAUGGUGGAAUGGAGAAUAAAAAGAAAGAAGAAGGCAACAAGAUUUUGGGUUUUUAAAUGCAACUCUUAUGUCAUACGUUGUAGGACAUAAAUGUUAAUUUAAUUAGUACUGAGAAAUUUAGAUUUUUAGAUGGGACUUUUAUGUCAUUUUAUAGUUAGCCGGUUUUAUGCUUAUGAAUUGGAGGUAUACAUGAAUCUUGGGAUCUUUAACAUUUCUAAAUCAUGUUUUGGUAUGUAUUCACUCUUCUUUUUUUAGUUUUGAUGGGUUUGAUAUGUUGGAUGUACUAUCUUUUUGUGAACAUUUGAUAUACAAAUAUUAUUAGAUGAUCAAUGUAUUAUGAGUUAUUCUAGAAACAUUACAGAAAAAUGAGUUAAAUAUAAUAUUAUUGUUAUAUUUAUGGACAAAAAAUAAAUAGGUUAAUCUUACUUAUUAAUUCAUAAGCAUUACAAAAAUUUAUAACUAAAAGCAAUCAUAUCUUCCACAAUAAUUUACAAUGAUGUGACACCAUUACUCAAAGGUGAUGCAUUUAAUAUGACAUUAUAAUUCAAAGAUGAUGCAUUUAAUGCGAUACCCUCUCAUCACUAGAAAUAUAUGGUGUCACUUCCGAAUGGGUCACCAUUUAUCUACUUUGGUGUCACUUCCAAAUACGUUACCAAUUGGUACCCUCUAUGGUAUCAGUGGAGAAGGUGACGCUAUGUUGUAGUGACACCCUAUGUUUAUGGUAACUCGUUAUAAAUGUCACCAUAUAUCUUUUUCCCUAUAGUGUAUAGCUCCAGUGAGGCUGUUCUCAGAGAAACAAAGGUAUGUCAAGUUUGUCAUUUGGCCUAGUACAGCAGGAAUGCUUCCAGUCAGAUUGUUAUCGUCCAAGUCUAUUGUCUCCAGGCUCCAAUAGCCUUGUAUGGAGGCUGGAAUAUUGCCUCCAAGCUUAUUACAACUCAUGUUUAUGAAUGUUAACUCAGAAAGCUCUCCAAUGGUAGCUGGGAUCCCUCCAUACAAGCUGUUGCCUUGCAAAGAGAGGGUGGUGAGAUGGGAUAGAUUGGAUAUGUAUGGUGAGAUAACUCCCUGUAAGCGCAUGUUUAUGAGCUUGAUUGACUCUAUUGAUAUUUUGUUGGUUGAGCAUGGAUUUAUGACUUAUAACGCACACGUGGAGGGUUGAAUUUCAUGAAAGAAAAUGAGGGUCAGAAAAAUAAUAAAUGGCAAGACAUUGAGCUUAUUGUGGGUAUGAUUGGGUACAAAUUCUUUUGUAUAUAUCUACUUGGGGUAUACAAUUGAAUAUUUAAUUUAGGAAGAUUCAAAAAAUUGUUUUCAAUGAAAUUCAAUAAUAAUAAUAAUAAUAAUAACAAUUGCCUGGAAAUUUAUUUAUUUAAUAAACAUUGUUUUGUCAUCAAAGUUAAUUUUUAAUAAAAUUAUCUAAAAAAAUGAAUUUUUAAAUAAAAUUCUAUUUCCUUAAUUAAAAUGGGCUAAAAAGUAAUUUUUGCAAAUUAAUGUCUUAAAUAACCUUUUCAUAAUAAUAGAAUGAGAAUCUUUUUAGCAAAUUGAACUUAUACAAAUCAUUUUCUUUUUGUAAAUAAAGUUUGUAAAAAAAUUAUUUUCUUUAUAAAUAAAAUCAAAUUGAAAUAUUUUUACAACUAAAAGAAUAUUUAGUUGAGCAAGUGAUGAACUAUUUUCUUGUUUAAGUAACCUUUUGUAAUGUUCCCCCAGCAUAAUGGUAGUACAAUAAGAGGGUUUAUUAUGUACUUCUUUCUAUAUGGACUUUGGGUAUAAUAAAAACAAUGCUUUCUCUUUCUCUCUCUCUCUCUCUCCCCCUCAGUCCACAGGUUUAGACCCUUAGCUUUACCCUGCACUAAGUCUUGAAAGCCAAAGAUUAUGCAGAAUCAAACUCUUAAAGUCUACAGCAUGAGUUGAGGAAAAAAGGAUGAGUAUUUAACGUAGUAGUUGAGGAAUGAUUCAAUGUUUGAAAUAUAAAAAAUGCAAUCCAUUGAACACUUAGCUGGCCUAUCUGCUUAUUAUUGUAUACAUAAAACAUAGACUAAUCCGAAGACUUCUAUGUGAUAACUUUAGAAUUUUCAUAUCCAAGGUUUUCACUUCUUUCUCAUCAGAAGACAAAGAUUGUAACUGUUGCAGAAAACCUAACAACCUAGUUUAUUUGUUAAGGUCCCUUUCUCUCAUAAAACAUAAAUAUAUUCACUAUCAAACACCAUAAUGAUAAUAAUAAUUAAUGAUCUUCUUUUUGCUGUAUAUACACUACUUUAGAGUUUGUUCAAUGUUUGGUUACCAAGAAAACACAAGGACUGAUCUGCUGCAUUAAAAGGUUAAUAUGUAGUUCUUCCAUUAGCUAGCCAUUUGGAACUAAGUCUUGUGGAGAACUUUUCAUAUUGGAGAUGGAUAUGAAAUUGGACCUGCCUCCACCUCAUUGAACUUCACUUUCAACAUAUGCAUUGAGAAUAUUUAAGUUAAGAUCAGUAUACUAACUAACCCUACAUAAAUUAACAUGUAUUGGUGAAAACACUUAUCCUUGUAAGUGAGAAAGCAAAAAAAGAAAAAAAAAAAAAGAAAAAAGAGAGAGACCUACCCAUUGAAGACUGUCUAUAAAUUGACAUGUUUCUCAUGCAAAAAUUUUCACCCCUCGCCUAAACGCAAAGAUUUGUAAUUGUUUGGAGACAGUACUCUAACAAUGGAGAAAGGUGUUAGUUUCCUAGUAACUGUGGCCCUCAUGGCAUUGGCUUCAUCUUUUGCCUCUGCCUCUGAUCCAAGCCCACUGCAGGACACUUGCGUUGCCAGACCCAAGAAUGCUGGUAUUUCUUUAGUAACCAACGAACUUGUCUCUAUUUUCACUAAUCUUUCCAAUUCAAUAUUGGGCACAUUAAUGCAGUAGCCAUUGCUGGUCUGAGCAGCCAAAAUCCAGGUGUAAUCACCAUAGCCAAUGCAGUGUUUGGAUCAAAUCCACCCAUCAAUCCCGAUUUCCUGGCAACGGCCUUCCAGUUGGACAAGAAGGUGGUUGAAUUCCUUCAAGCACGAUUCUAGUGGGGAAAUAGAGAAAAUGAAGAAGCUAUGAACCUUUGGUUUUCUUGCUUGAAUGACUAUUUGUGAUGUUCAAUUACCUCAUUACAAUAAGAGGGGUUUAUUACUUUAUUUUGUAGCUCUUUUGGUGUGGAUUUUGAUCCUGAUAUUAAAAUAAAGCAGUUUGUCUGUUAGGCAUCUUCUUCUGUCUCCAUCUCAAUAUUUGUCUUAAAAAAUCUCAUCUUGUGAAAAAACAACUGGAUAACAACUCUCAGUUGAUUGAUUAACCUGCAUGUGCAGAAUGUUUAUUAAGAAGGAAUACUUAGCUAGUUGUAAAACAGUACUACUGUUACUUCCAGCAUAAGUGUCAUGAAAAUUGUGAAGAAAGAAUGGAAAUGAAAACCCAGAAAUCUUAUGACAUCUACUGUAGACAAAUUAAUGUCUUAAAUAAUCUUUUCAUAAUAAUAGAAUGAGAAUCUUUUUAGCAAAUUGAACUUAUACAAAUCAUUUUCUUUUCGUAAAUAAAGUUUGUAAAGAAAUUAUUUUCUUUAUAAAUAAAAUCAAAUUAAAAUAUUUUUGUAAAUAAACUAAAAAUUAAUGUCCUAAGUAAAAAUCAUUUUUAUUGUCAAAUUGGAAUUUUUUGAAUAAAUUCUAUCCAAAUAGAAUUGAAUCAAAUCAUUUAUUGGAAAUAAAUAAAUAAAUUAAAAUCUUGAAAAAGUAAUAUUUAAAAUAUCUUUUUGUAAUCAAUUUAAUAAAUCGGUUUGUAUAAUUCUAAUGUCAUUUAUUUUGUACAUUUUUGUAAUUUAAUUUUAUCAUUAUUUUCUUGUAUAUUAAUUUGUCUCUUUAAUCUUGAUAUUCAUGAUUGAUCAAUUAACUGUCAUAAUUCAUUUCGUUUGUUUAGUAAAUAUUGUUAGUAUACAUGCUUAGAGGAGUAUUACGACUUAUUACUGUACCUUCCUGAUAGGCAACCUGACCCUUGAAUAUAGACUUGAUUUUACAAACAUGUCUUUUCUAAAUGAGGAGUUACACAAAAUUUUCUUUCUUAUUUUGUUCUCUUUUAAAAAAUAAAUUAAAAUAAGUGGCAACCCUAAUUUUUUUAUAAAAAAAAAAAAAAAAUCAAAUUUUCACAAUAAAAAUGAGUCUCACUGUCGAGUGGGAACACACGCAAAAAAUACGGGUCAACAUGUAUCCAAUUGAUUGGGGUCAAUGUCAAGAUGUGUGAUAAAGAUGCAAAUUUGAAUAUGAAUCCUGCCAUUGAUUGAAUCUUGAACUACCCGAUAGUGGUUGUAACAAGUGAGAUAAGUUGCUAAGGUUUGCGUUGAAAAGUUCAGCCAUGGAAAGUUACUAGUCAUCCAAAUAUGUAUAUAAAUCAAAGUGCACAUUCUAAAUCAAAGAAAUCAGCCUCCUUAAGCAAAAGACCUUACAAUUCUUAGAGUAUGUUUGGUAGUAAUUUUAGGAAGUGUUUUUAACUUUUUUAAUAAUUGAAAAAUAAGAAUUUUGAAGUAUUAAAAAAUGUUAGAAACACUUCCUAAAAUCACUAUCAAACGCACUUUUAAUGUAAUUUGCUCUAUCUACCACUUGAUGUGGAUGUUAAGAUUGAUAUCCUUGGUCAUUGCCUAUAAUCCUAUAUCUAUAAUUGCAAGAAGACAUACAUUGAAACAUGAAUACCCUUUCACUAUGUUUGGUUUAUGGAAAAUACUAAGAAAAGAAAAUGUUUUUCUUAUAUUUAGUUUUAUUAUGAAAAAUAAGAAAAAAUAAAAUAUAAUUAUAAUUAAUUAAAAUUUUAUGUAUUUUAAAAUUAUUUAAUAUUUAUAUAAUGAAGGAAAAUAAAUGAAACGAGCUUGAAAAAGUAUAUAAAAAUAAUUUAUUAAUUAUAACUUGUAUGCGACUAUUUUGUACUUUAAUCCCGUUUUUCUUUUAUCCUCUUGUAGGUACCUUGAUUUUAUAUAUUUGUAUCUUUAUUCAAUGAUUUAGAUUUCAUAUAUUUGUAUCUUUAAUUGAGAUUGCAAGAUCUGUACGGAUUCAGAUUAGGGAUGGCAACGCUAUAAGCUUAAGAUAAGUUACUCAUAUCCCAAUCCAUUAUAUUUAUUCGUAUAUGUUAUCAUCCCCACCAAAAAAAGAAAUUAAAUGGGAUGGGACGGGUAUAGGAAAUUCUCAUGCCUACCCCAUGCUAUCCCGUUUUUUAUUUAUUUAUUUUUCAAUUUUUAUUUCUAAAAUUUUAAGAAAAUUAAUAUUUUAAAUAUGUUAAAAAAAUUGAAAACUGAAAAAAGAAAUCAAUUAAAAGAACUUUUUAUUUAACAUUAUACAUAAUUAGGCUGAGGUAGGAUGAAACAAACUCAUACCCAAAAUCACCCCGAAUCAAUCUCGGGUUUUAAAAAAUUUCUCAAAUUCAAGAUGAGACAAAAUCAUAUCCAAAACUAUCUCGAAUCCAUCCUAGAUUUUAAAAAUUUUCUCAAAUUUAUCUAAACUCGUUUAUCAUUAUCUCAAAACGAGCCCAUUAAGGGUAGGACGAGUACUAAAUAAAAUUGGUAUAUUAUCAUCCCUAAUCAAGAUCCUAAAAUUUUUCUUUAUGAUAAUGAAAACAACAAUCAUAGUCGUCAUCUCUCUAUCAGUUUACUUGUUAGGUUUGAUCAAAUACACCUUAUGUGUUGCCUUUGGGCAACCUAGCUCUCUCAAUCAUUGUCUAAAGUUCGGGUGUUUGUUUAUUUUUUUAAUUCAUUUUGUCUUAAGUUUUUUAUUAUUAAAUAAAAUUUCUUUUUGUUACUUUAAACACCUCUAAUAAUUAUACUUUUUAUUUUUUAUAUUUAUAUUUAUCAAGUUUAUAACUGUAAAAUUUAUAAAAAUGUUAGUUUUUUGUUUUUAAAAAUAAUAAAAAGUGAUAUUUAAAGGGUCAAGUGGGCCAGCAUGAUGGCACGAUGGGUUGUUUCCUUAGGCCCACCACGACCCGCUCCUUUGGGCCAUGCCGGCCUGACUCGGUCUUUUGGCGCACUUGGCCACAGGCCAAAAUGGGUGGCUCGACCCAUUGGACACCUCUAGUAGUUACAUGUCUAGCAUCCAAACGUUAGACCAGAUGAGUUUUGUCAAACCCAACCCAUUCAUCCCCUUUGCCUCAUGUUGGCCACCCGGUUCGGACCAGCCUUGACAUGAACGGCAAGGUCCAAUGGAUUAGGUUGAUUUAGGGUCUCGAUUAUUUUUGUUUAAAUAAAUUGCAAAGAAAAAAAAAACUUGGUUUGGAUAAAUAAAUUUCAAUUGUUUUUAAAAUAGGUUUUUAUUUUAUUUUUUGUAAAAUUUUUUAUAAAUUCAAUUUAUACAAUAUUAAUUAUAUGUAAUUGAAGUCUUAUUAAAGAUUUUUUAAAAAAUAGUUUUUAAAUUAAAGAUAAAUUAAAAAAAAUCAUAAAAUAUGAAAUUAAUAUUAUAAUAAAAUCAUAAAUUAUGGUUUUUAUUUAAAAUGAUACUAUUUUAAGAUAUGAUUUAUUUAUUUUUAUAAGAAUGAAUAAUACUAAUUUUAAAAUAAUAAAAGGGUGAUAUAUUUUAUUUGAAAUAAAUUUAAAAAUAAAUAAAUUUUAUUUUUUUAAUACGUAAAUAAGUCAUGUUUUUCAUUAUAUCUACACCCGAGAAUUUAAACUUGACCCAAACUUCAACUAAAAAGACCUAUAUCCAACACAGUUAUUAGAGGUGUCCAAUGGGUCGUGUCGGGCCAACACAAUCCGAUGUUUAUCAGGCCAAUGCGUUGGCUCGACCCAUGCAAGCCAAAUAGGUGGCUUGACAUGGCCCAUAAGCCCAUGUGCUAAUCAUGUCGUGUUGUGCCAUGCCGGUGAGUCGUGCCCCAUGGGCACACACUUUAUUAAAAAUUUUAAUUAAUUUUUUUUAAUUCAUUUUGACUUAAGUUUUUUUAUUAUUAAAUAAAAUUUCUUUUUGUUACUUUAAACACCUCUAAUAAUUAUACUUUUUUAUUUUUUAUACACUUCUAAUAAUUAUACUUUUUUUUUAUAUUUAUAUUUAUCAAGUUUAUAACUGUAAAAUUUAUAAAAAUGUUAGUUUUUUGUUUUUAAAAAUAAUAAAAAGUGAUAUUUAAAGGGUUAAGUGGGCCAGCAUGAUGGCACGAUGGGUUGUUUCCUUAGGCCCACCACGACCCGCUCCUUUGGGCCAUGCCAGCUUGACUCGGUCUUUUGGCGCACUAGGCCACAGGCUAAAAUGGGUGGCUCGACCCAUUGGACACCUCUAGUAGUUACAUGUCUAGCAUCCAAACGUUAGACCGGGUGAGUUUUGUCAAACCCAACCCAUUCAUCCCCUUUGCUUCAUGUUGGCCACUCGGUUCAGACAUUGGGUUGAUUUGGGGUCUCGGUUCUUUUUGUUUAAAUAAAUUGCAAAGAAAAAAAAAACUUGGUUUGGAUAAAUAAACUUCAGUUGUGUUUAAAAUAAGUUUUUAUUUGAUUUUUUGUAAAAAAAAUUAUAAAUUCAAUUUAUACAAUAUUAAUUAUAUUUAAUUGAAGUCUUAUUAAAGAUUUUUUUAAAAAUAGUUUUUAAAUUAAAGAUAAAUUAAAAAAAUUCGUAAAAUAUGAAAUUAAUAUUAUAAUAAAAUCAUAAAUUAUGAUUUUUAUUUAAAAUGAUACUAUUUUAAGAUAUGAUUGAUUUAUUUAUUUAUUUAUUUUGAUAAGAAUGAAUAAUACUAAUUUUAAAAUAAUAACAGGGUGAUAUUUUAUUUGAAAUAAAUUUAAAAAUAAAUAAAAUUUAUUUUUUUUAAUACGUAAAUAAGUGAAGUUUUUCAUUAUAUCUACACCUGAGAAUUUAAUCAAGGAUAUAGUAUUUUGAACUAGUUUUGAGUCAUUCCUAUAAGCUUCAUUCAGUCAUUAUGGUUUAGACAAUUGAUAAUUAAUCUGUUGGCAUAAUUGAUUCUGCAAAACAGUAUCCUGAAUUUAGUAUCGAGGGAGGCAGAAACACAGCGAGAGAGAGAGAGAGAGAGAGAUGAUGCUUAACAAACAGACUGCAGACUGCUUUAUUGUAGUAAUAUGCCCAAAGUCCACACUAGAAGAGUUACAACCAGACCCUCUUAUUAUACCAUGUUUGUUACAAUGAGGGAAUUGAACAUCAUGAAUCGUCAUUCAAGCAAGGAAAUCAAAGGUUGACAGCUUAUUCUUUUUCUAUAUUUCCCCACUAGAAUCGUGCUUGAAGGUAUUCAACCACCCUCUUGUCCAACUGGAAGGCCCUUGCCAGGAAAUCAGGAUUGAUGGGUGGAUUUGAUCCAAACAUUGAACUGGCUAUGGUGAUUACACCUGGAUUUUGGCUGUUAAAAACGGCAAUGGCUACUGCAUUAGUGUGCCCAAUGUUGACUUGGAAGUGAAUGAGACUGAAAGGGAACACAAAAACAUCCCCCUUGUUCAGGACUUUGCUAAUGAAGCGGUGUUCAGGGUUGGAUGUGAUAAAGCCAACAAAGAGUUUUCCCUCCAAGACAAUGAAGAUCUCACUGGCACGAGGGUGAAAGUGAGGAGGGUUUUGACCAUUAGGUUCAUAAUCGAUACGAGACAGUGACACCCCAAGAGUGUUUUCUCCUGGUAAUUGAUCAACAUUUAUAAGAUUGACAAUUGAGCCCACAUAAUUUGAUGUGUUUCCUGGAAUAUUCAGCCCUUGAUACAAGAAAUCCUCGGCCACGGUCAGGUUUGGGUUCUUGCAGAACUUCCCAUUUACAAAUACUGCAUGAAGAAGGAAAAAAGAAAAGAUGUAUCCUUAGUAUCAAACCAUACUCACCAUAUCAAUAAAAAGAGUAGUACUGAAAAUAGCUAUAACAUCAUUGGUUACAAUAGAAAUACCAGCAUUCUUGGGCUCAUCAACUGCAACACAGGUGUCUUCCAGUGGGCUUGGAUCAUAGGCAGAGGCAAGAAACGAAGCCAAUGCCAUGAGGGCCACAGUUACCAUGAAACUAACGCCUUUCUUUAUUGUUAGAGUACUGUCUCCAACAAUCCCAAUCUUUAUCUUUCGGCGGGGAUAAUAAAUUUAGCCUGGAAAAGAUGUUAAUUUAUAGACCAGAGUCGGUGAGUUAGUCUUUGCAUAAACUCACCAAGUCUUCAAUGGGAAGUUUUUUCUUCUUUCUUUUUUCACUUUCGAGGACAAGCGGUUGCACCAAUACGUGUUGAUUUACGUAGGAUUAGUCAGUGUAUAGAUCUUAACCAGAAUAUAAAGCAAUGUACAAUCAGGUGGAGGCAGGUCCAAUUUAAUAUCAAUCUGCAUGAUCCAUACGUUUACAUUUAUAGUAGAGCUUUCUGCUCUUUUAGUAGUGUAUAGACAAGCAAAUAGAAGAUUACAGAGUAGGUGCCAGCUUGGAGUAUACAAUGACCCGCCCAUAUCAAACAUGGUUACUCCAUGAGGCUUGUGUAGGUUCAGUUUAAUGAGUAUCUAUAUAGCUUAAUUCACCAUUCAAAGUGUUGAGAGAUUGGCUGAUGAGAUUAAAUAUGUAGCCAAGUUCUGAGUUUCUAGCUCAUGUGCCUUCCACUGAGUGAAAAGUCCUUGGAUAAGCUCUGGCUUUCUGCUAUACGCUCAUUAGGCUUUCCUCAGUUACAAAAGCUUUGACUAUGAUUUUUACGCUUGUAGCCUUCGCUGUCUGAGCGGUUUCUAAGACUUUUUAAUUAGUUGCUUCUAAGUUGUCUUUAACAAGCAAGUCCGUAUUUUCUGGCGAGAAGCAAGAAAAUACCAAUUGAUUAGAUGAAGUCCUUCGACUAAUCUAUGCCCUAUACGUAAGGUAAUUAAGCAGUUACACUUUCCAAAUCUUCAAUGGAUGUCAUUUUUCGAAUUGAAAGGUUGAACUUCCUCAAGUUAUGCUCUAGACUCUAGAAUGAAUUCUACAUAAUCUUCGGUUUUAGGCCUUAUUCCUAGUUUAAAGCUAAGAAGUAAACCAGUGGACAGACCAUCUGUAAUCAGAUUGUGAUUAGUGUCAUGACCCAUUAGAUCUUUAUAAGAAGUUGGCCAUGGUUCAAAGUCACGGUAUCCGUCACCAAAUCGGUAAGUCCCGAGGUACAUCAGUUUCAACGUCACGGAUCGAUAUCGGAUGAUACGCAAAAAUUUAUAGUUUAAAAGCUCAAAACAAUUUAAAAAGAUUACAAAAAUAAAUACAAAUAAAUAAAGUUAAAAAUUAAGAAAUAAAAUUUUAUUAUGUAUAAAAUUAUUCAAAUUAUGAUAAAACAUACCUUUGUAAUGAUUUAUAAAAAUAUUAAAACUAUAAAAAAAAUAAUUUAAUCACUUAAUAUUAAAUAUGCAUCAUUAAAGAUGAAAAUAAUAAAAAGUGAAUUUAUAGUUUAUAAUUUUUUUAAAAUUAAAUAUUUUGAAUUUUUUAAAAAUAUUUUCAAUAUUUAAAAAAAUACAUCUAGGAAUCAUCUUUGAAAAAAAUAAACAUCAUUUUUCUUAUCAAAUGUAUUCUAAAUAAAACAAUUAUAAAAAUAAAGAAUUUUUAUUUGAAUGAGCAUAUUUGAAUAUAAUAUAUUUUUUCUAUACAUCUAUUCAUUUGAAUUGAAUUUUUAUAUUAAUAUUCAUUUCCUUUUUUAUUCAUGUAAACCUAAAUAUUCAUUAUUAAUGUACCAUAAUCCUAAUUCCCAUCAAAUUUGCAUUAUCCAUUUAAAUACAAUUAUUCACAACAUAUUCAUUAACUACUUAAAAAACAAAUACCCACCCAAAUUUGUAAUCCUAUCAAAUACCCAUAACCCAUUGGCAAACACGUAUUUCCUUUUUUUGGCACAAUACCCAUUUUCUCUCUAAAACAACACUUUGAGCUCUCUAUUUCUUUGCACAAUACCUAUAUUUGAAGGCUAAAAAAAUAGGCCUACAAAGAUACAAAAGGAUGGAGCUAGAAAUACAAGGAUGAAGAUGCACAAGGUUUGAAGACUCUAUACUCUCCACACUUCUUCACUUUCAUAUGUUUCCAUCAUCUUCUUUCAUCCACUAUUUUCGCUCCUAUAUUACCAUUUUUUCCCAUCACCCAUCACCCGAAGAGCUUAGUUUGAAUAUAAUCUUGGGGUUAUCUCAAAGUUUCUUUGUGAUUCAACAAGUUUUUUCAUGAGUCAACCAAAUAUUAGACUCAGGUAUCGGUUCAGUACUAGUCAUGGACAAGAUUUUAACCCUGUUUGAGCUCUCUAUUUCUUUGUACAAUACCAAUUUUUAAAGGCUCACAAAAUAACCCUAUGAAAAUACAAGAGGAUAGAGAUGCAAAUACAGGGAUGAAGAUGCAAAAGGUUUGAAGACUUUGAACUCUCCAUAUUCUUCGGUUUCAUGGGUUUCAAUCUUCUUCUCUCAUCAACUAUUUCUGCUCCAAUAUUACCAUUUUUUUCCAUCACCCAUGACCUGAAGAGCUUAGCUUGGACAUAAUCUUAGGGAUAUCUCAAAGUUUCUUUGUGAUUUAACAAGUUUAUUCAUGAUUCAACCAAAUAUUGGACUCGGAUAUCGGUCCGAUACCGAUCAUGGCUGAGGCAUAUAUGAAUCGGUUGAGUCGUACCGGUCUCGACCGAGAUUUUGAACCUUGUUUGAGCUUUCUAUUUCUUUGCACAAUACUAAUUUUUGAAGCCUUAUAAAAUAGCCCUACGAAGAUAUAAGAGGAUGAAGAUGCAAAUACAAGGAUGAAUAUGCAAAGGGUUUGAAGACUUUGAACUCUCCAUACUUCUUCACUACCAUAGGUUUCAAUCUUCUUCUCUCAUCCACCAUUUCCAUUCCAAUAUUACCAUUUUUUUUUCCAUCACCCAUCACUCAAAGAGCUUAGUUUGGACAUAAUCUUGGGGUUAUCUCAAAGUUUCUUUAUGAUUCAACAAGUUUAGUCAUGAGUCAACUAAAUAUUGGACUUGGGUAUCAGUCUGAUACUAGUCAUGACCAAGAUUUUGAACCCUUUUUGAGCUCUCUAUUUCUCUACAUAAUACCCAUUUUUGAAUGCUCACAAAAUAACCCUACAAAGAUACAAGAUGAUAGAGAUGCAAAUACAAGGAUGAAGAUGCAAAGGGUUUGAAGACUCUAAACUCUCCAUACUUCUUCACUUUCAUAGGUUUCGAUCUUCUUCUCUCAUCCGCCAUUUCAACUCCAAUAUUACCAUUUUUUUCCAUGACCUAUCACUCGAAGAGCUUAUUUUGGACAUAAUCUUGGGGUUAUCUCAAAGUUUCUUUUUUAUUCAACAAGUUUAUUCAUGAGUCAACCAAAUAUUGGACUUGAGUAUUAGUUCGGUACUGGUCAUGGCCGAGGUGGAUAUGACUUGGCCAAGUCAUACUGGUCUCAAUCGAGAUUUUGAACCCUAUUUGAACUCUCUAUUUCUUUGCACAGUACCCAUUUUUUAAGGCUAACAAAUUAGCCCUACGAAGAUAUAAGAGGAUUGAGAUGCAAAUAAAGAAAUGAAGAUGCAAAGGGUUUGAAGACUCUAAACUCUUCAUACUUUUUCACUUUCAUGGGUUUCAAUCGUCUUAUCUCAUCCACCAUUUUCGCUCCAAUAUUACAAUUUUUUUCCAUCACCCAUCACCCAAAAAGCUUAGUUUGAACAUAAUCUUGGAGUUAUCUCAAAGUUUAUUUUUUAUUCAACAAGUUUAUUCAUGAGUAAACCAAAUAUUGGACUCAAGUAUCAAUUCAAUAUCAAUCAUGGUUGAGGCGGAUAUGACUCGAACAAGUUGUACUUGUCUCAACCGAGAUUAUGAACCCUAUUUGAGCUCUCUAUUUAUCUCUACAAUACCCAUUUUUGAAGGCUUACAAAAUAGUCCUACGAAGAUACAAGAUGAUGGAGAUGCAAAUACAAGGAUGAAAAUCCAAAGAGUUUGAAGACUCUGAACUCUCCAUAUUUUUUCACUUUCAUGAGUUUUGAUUUUCUUCUCUUAUCUGCCAUUUCCGCUCCAAUAUUACCAUUUUUUCCAUUACCCAUCACUUGAAGAGCUUAGUUUGGACAUAAUAUUAAGGUUAUCUCAAAUUUUCUUUGUGAUUCAACAAGUUUAUUCAUAAGUCAGCCAAAUAUUGGACUUGGGUAUCUGUUCGAUACUAGUCAUAUAUGGUAGAGGCGGAUAUGACUCAACCAAGUUGUACUAGUCUCAACUAAGAUUUUGAACCCUAUUUGAGCUCUCUAUUUCUCUGUACAAUACCCAUUUUAAAGGCUCACAAAAUAGCCCUACCAAGAUACAAGAUAAUGAAGAUGCAAAUAUUACUCAUUGAAUAUCUAGCAAUAAUUGGUUUAUUUUUUAUUUUUGAAUUAUUUUUUAAAAUUAAAUAUCUAUUAAUGAAACAAAAAUACUAAUGAUUAAUACCAAAAAGUGCUAUUUUGUAGAUCUAAUUAUAAUGGUUUUAAGCACCUUUGAGUAGUAAUCAUAUUCAUUUAACCCAAUUAAUUCAUUAAGGUCCUUAGUAAUUGGUUUUAACCAUUUUGUGGCAAGUUUACAUGUUUUUAUCAGCUUAUGAAUCAAUUCAAGCAUGCCAAAUGAUGGAGGAGCUACUUAGACAAGUUAAAGCAAGGAUUUUGGAAGUUUACAGGCUUGAAUUUCAAGUGGAAACACGAGCACAAGCAAUGGAGAAGAGGAAAACAGAGUGAAGAAAACAGAGGACAGCAGCUGCAGUCUUCUUUUGCACUUUUGGAGCACUUCCCGAAGUCCAUUUUCUACAUUCUAUAUACCAUUUCAAAGCUCAGGAAGUCAAUAAUCCAAUGCUUCAAACGGUGCGUGAUUCGGAGUUGAAACGAAGGAGUUACAGCCAUUGCAAUCAGAUCACUCCAAGCUGCUGCGAAAUCAGCCUUUUGUUGCGAGAAUUUCGCAGCCUUUUUGUACAGUGCAAUGGAAUUCCUCCUGAAGCUACCCGAUAUAUGCUGCAAGCUGGAAUGCUGAGAACCUCAAGGUGGAAGCCAACUUCGCAGCCCUGCGAAGAUAGCUUGGUGUUGCGAAAUUAUUUCGCAACCCUCUUGAGUGUCUGCGAAAUCUCGCAGACCUCGUUUUCACCUGCGAAAUGUCCUUAGUGCUUCCUGAUAUUUGUGCACCGACUCUUUUGGAUAUUUUUCUUCAGAUAUUUUUGUAUAAAUUUCCAUUUUCUCCUUGUUUUCAGCCACUCAUGUAAUUCCUUAGCUAGGAAGUNNNNNNNNNNNNNNNNNNNNNNNNNNNNNNNNNNNNNNNNNNNNNNNNNNNNNNNNNNNNNNNNNNNNNNNNNNNNNNNNNNNNNNNNNNNNNNNNNNNNGAGAGAGAUUUAGUGUUUGAACCCAUUAAUGGGAAGCAUCUGUACAACACCGGUUGGAGAAGGAACUAUAGGUUAAUUCUCUAAGGCGAGGAAAAAAAACAAGUGACCGGAACUCCCUUUUUGUAUGAGGAACCUGAGCCUAGUGAUCUGAACUCCAAGAAACACUUUUCUUUGUAAGUAAAAUCAGUUACUAUUUUUGGUUAGCUUAAAACCAAACCUUUUUCAUUCAAACAUCUUUAUGUUUUCUUAAGCUAACCUUGAAAUGAAAAGGCACCAAUUCAGCUUUGAAUUAAUAUCAUUUGUGAAGUGAAAACCCAUCCCAGUGGACGAUCCUAGAGCCACUAUGCUAUAGUAGCUUUGUCUUUGCUACCCUAGUAUAUGGUGUAAUAGGUUAUAAAUUUUGUUGAUUACUCCCUCAAUCAAGGAGCACCAGCUGGACACGAAUCAGCUGAGACACCAAUUGGGCACGAAUCAACUAACUCUUUCUUGAUUUUCUUCUCUCAUCCACCAUAUCCGCUCCAAUAUUGCCAUUUUUUCCAUCACCCAUCACCCUAAGAGCUUAGUUUGGAUAUAAUCUUAGGGUUAUCUCAAAGUUUCUUUUUUAUUCAACAAGUUUAUUCAUGAGUUAACCAAAUAUUGGACUCGGGUAUUAGUUCGGUACCGGUCAUGGCCAAGGUGAAUAUGACUUGGCCGAGUCAUACCAGUCUCAAUUGAGAUUUUGAACCUUGUUUGAACUCUCUAUUUCUUUGCACAAUACCCAUUUUUUAAGGCUAACAAAAUACCCUAACAAAGAUACAAGAGGAUUGAGAUGCAAAUAUAGGAAUGAAGAUGAAAAGGGUUUGAAGAGUCUAAACUCUUCAUACUUUUCCACUUUCAUGGGUUUCAAUCUUCUUCUCUCAUCCACCAUUUUUGCUCUGGUAUUACUAUUUUUUUUCCAUCACCCAUCAUCCAAAAAGCUUAGUUUGGACAUAAUCUUGGAGUUAUCUCAAAGUUUCUUUUUUUAUUCAACAAAUUUAUUCAUGAGUCAACCAAAUAUUGGACUAGAGUAUCGAUCCGAUACUGAUAAUGGCUGAGGCGGAUAUGACACGAUCAAGUCGUACGAGUCUUAACCGAGAUUAUGAACCCUGUUUGAGUUCUCUAUUUCUAUACACAAUACCCAUAUUUGAAGGCUCACAAAAUAGUCCUACGAAGAUACAAGAUGAUGGAGAUGCAAACACAUGGAUGAAAAUCCAAAGCGUUUGAAGGCUCUGAACUCUCCAUAUUUCUUCGCUUUCAUGGGUUUCGAUCUUUUUCUCUCAUCCACCAUUUUCGCUCCAAUAUUACCAUUUUUUCCAUUACCCAUCACGCAAAGAGCUUAGUUUGGACAUAAUAUUAUGGUUAUCUCAAAUUUUCUUCAUGAUNNNNNNNNNNNNNNNNNNNNNNNNNNNNNNNNNNNNNNNNNNNNNNNNNNNNNNNNNNNNNNNNNNNNNNNNNNNNNNNNNNNNNNNNNNNNNNNNNNNNAAGAGCUUAGUUUGGACAUAAUAUUAUGGUUAUCUCAAAUUUUCUUCAUGAUUCAACAAAUUUAUUCACAAGUCAACCAAAUAUUGGACUUGGGUAUCAGUCCGAUACUAGUCAUGGUGGAGGCAGAUAUGACUCGGUUGAGUCGUACCAAUCUCGACUAAGAUUGUGAACCCUGUUUGAACUCUCUAUUUCUUUGUACAAUAUCCAUUUUGAAGGCUCACAAAAUAGCCCUACCAAGAUACAAGACGAUGGGGAUGCAAAUAUUACUCCUUGAAUUACUGGCAAUAAUUAGUUUAUUUUUUUAAUUUUGAACUAUUUUUUAAAAUUAAAUAUUUGUUAAUGAAACAAAAGCACUAACUCUUUCUUGAUUUGGAGUUUAUUUGUUGAAUGAAAAUUUUUGGAUAAUUAUGGUUUUGCGCAUAAGAGAAAUAAUGAACCAAUUGUUGUUCAUAAAUUCAUAAAAUUGGAUUAGCAUUUGAGUUUCAAAUUAUUUUUAAAAGUGCUUACAUUCAUUAAUGAAUCUAAUACACUAAGUUCCUCUUUGGGAUGAAUUUUGAAUGAGGCUAAAAGCUUUUCCUAACACUAGAAAGCAAUCUUAAAAAAAUGGUUGAAAAUCACUUUUAAAAAUCUAAAUAAUGACAUGAUUCUUCGAACUAUCACAUUUUUGUUAUAUUAUACAUUGCCAAAACAUUCUCUGAACAUAUUUUAAAAAAAAUUUAUAAUAUGCAUUUCCUACAAAGCAAUCUUAAAAAUAUAUAUAUAUAUAUAUCAUCAAUAAUUAGAUUAUGGUGUGAUAGUGAUUUUAGCAAUUGUUUUUAGCCUUUUUAAUACUUUAAAAAUAACAGCAGUGAAUUUAGGAAACGUUUCUAGCUUUUUUAACGCUUGAAUGAUAUAAAUUUUCAAGUAUUAGAAAAGUUAAAAAUGUUUCCUAAAAUCACUACUAAACAGGCUUUAAUCAGUAGUAGUAAUUAAUUGGUAUUGAAUAACUGUAAUGCAGUUUCCUGAAUGUAGUAUUGAGGGAGAGAGAAACAGAGAGGAAGAGAGAGAUGCUUAACAAACAAAUUGCUUUAUUGUAGUAAUAUGCCCAAAGUUCACACCAGAAGAGUUACAACUAGACCCUCUUAUCAUACUAGGAUUGUUAUAACGAGGGAAUUGAACAUCAUAAAUAGUCAUUCAAGCAAGGAAAUGAAAGGUUGAUAGCUUCUUCUUUUUCUAUAUUCCCCCACUAGAAUCGUGCUUGAAGGUAUUCAACCACCUUCUUGUCCAACUGGAAGGCCCUUGCAAGGAAAUCAGGAUUGAUGGGUGGAUUUGAUCCAAACACUGCAUUGGCUAUGGUGAUUACACCUGGAUUUUGGCUGUUCAGACCAGCAAUGGCUACUGCAUUAGUGUGCCCAAUGUUGAAUUGGAAGUGAAUGAGACCGAUAGGGAACACAAAAACAUCCCCUUUGUUGAGGACUUUGCUAAUGAAUCGGUUUUGAGGGUUGGAUGUGACAAAGCCAACUAAGAGUGUUCCCUCCAAAACAGUGAGGAUCUCACUGGCACGGGGGUGAAUGUGAGGAGGGUUUUGACCAUAGGGUGCAUAAUUGAUACGAACCAGUGAUAUCCCAAGAGUGUUUUGUCCCGGUAGUACAUCAACAUUUAUAAUAGUGACAUUUGAGCCCACUAGAUUUGCUGUGUUUCCUGGAAUAUUCAGCCCUUGAUACAAGAAAUCGUCAGCCACGGUCAGGUUUGGGUUCUUGCAGAACUUUCCAUUUACAAAUACUGCAUUUAAAAAAACAAAAGGAAAAUAAAAGAUAGGUCAUUAGUAUCAAACCACCAUCAAUGGAAAGAUUAGUGAAAAUAGUGACAAGAUCAUUGGUUACUAAAGAAAUACCAGCAUUCUCGGGUUCAUCAAUGGCAACACAAGUGUCCUGCAGUGGCCUUGGAUCAAAGGCAGAGGCAAGAGAGGAAGCCAAUGCCAUGAGGGCAACAGUUACCAGGAAACUAACACCUUUCUUCAUUGUUAGAGAACUGUCUCCAACAAUCACAAUCUUUAUCUUUAGGUGGGGGUGAGAAAUUUUGCAUGGGAAAGAUGUUAAUUUAUAGACCAGUCAAUGAGUAAAGUCUUUGCAUAAACUCACAAAGUCUUCAAUGGGUAGUUUUUUCUUUUCUUUUUUUUCUUUCUUUUUUCUUUUUUUCACUUUCAACGUCAAGUGGUUACACCAAUACAUGUUGAUUUAUGUAGGAUUAGUUAGUUACUAUACUGAUCUUAACUAGAAAAUUCUCCAUGCGUGUGGAAAGUGAAGUUCAAUUAUUGAUGGAGGCAGGUCCAAUUUCAUAUCAACCUGCAUGAUCCAUACAUUUACAUAAAUAGUAGAUUGAAUAUUACUACCAUUCAAACACUGAAAAAUAUGUAUAGUGUAUUGACAAGAAAAUAGAAGAUUACAGAGUAAGUGCAGGCUUGGACUAGACAAUAACCCACCCAUUCCAAACAUGGUUACUCUAUGAGGCUUGUGUAGGUUCAGUUUAAUGAGUAUCUAUAUAGCUUAAUUAACCAGUCAAAGUUUUCAGAGAUUGGCUGAUGAGAUUGAAUAUGUAGCCAAGUUCUGAGUUUCUAGCUCAUGUGCCUUCCACUGAGUGAAAAAUCCUUGGAUAAGCUCUAGGGUUGCUUCACUUUAGUGAAAAAUAGGGAUAAAUUCAAAGAUUUUCUGCUAUGCUCAUUAGGCUUUCCUCAGUUACAAAAGCUUUGGCCAUGAUUUUUAUGCUUGCAGCCUGCCCUGUCUGAGCAGUUGGCUCAAAAGUUAUUAUUAUUAUUAUUAUUUUGGUUUGAGAGAGAAAGAGAUCUUAAUAAACACCUUUAAACUAAGACUUUUUAAUUAGUUGUUUAUAAGUUGUCUUUAACAAUCACGUCGGUGUUUCCUGGUGAGAAGCAAGAAACCUUGAUUUGAAAAAUACCAAUAAAUUAGAUGAAGUCCUCAGGUUAACCUAUGUUUUAUAGGUGAGGUAAGCAGUUACACUUUCCAAGUCUUCAAUGGAUGUCAUUUUUCAAAUUUAAAGGUUGAACCAUUCUUCGAUCACACUCCUUUCUCAUCCUUUUCUCCUCAACUUAUGCUCUAGACUCUUGAAUGGAUUCUACAUAAUCUUCGGGUUUUAGGCCUUAUUCCAGUGUAAAGCUAAGAAGUAAACCAGUGGGCAGGCCAUCUAUAAUCAGUUUGUGAUUAGUGUCAUGACCUAGAUCUUUAUAAGAAGUUGGGGUCAGAGGUUUGUUUACAGUGGAUGUCAUAAGAUUUAUGGGCUUUCAUUUCUAUUCUUUCCUCACUAUUUCAUAACACUUAUGCUUCUCCCACCAUUCAUAUGGUUUUACUUGGACAUCUUAAUGAGUUUUUUCGAUCUCAGUUGAUGGGAGUUAUAAUGGGAUAAUUUAGAGAAGCAAAUUAAUGGCAUCUUUCCAUUUCUGAAUUGUAUGGGGUUGUUGCCUCAAUGUUCAUGUCUUCAUCACCAAUUCUGUCAGCAGUAUGCUAGAAGUAACAGUAGUUCUGUUUUAUGCAUAUCCUGUAUUUAAUCAAUCAAUCAACUGAGAUUUGUUAUUCAGUUGCUUCUUUUACAAGUGAAAUCUCAAAGAUUUGUUUAAGAUUUUUUAAUGAAAACAUAGGGUAAUCCUGGAUAUGGCAUUGGAUAGUGAGAGAAGAAGAUGGCUAAUAGACAAACUGCUUUAUUUUAAUAUUAGGACCAAAGUCCACAUCAAACAACCUACAACAUAAAGAAAUAAACCCUCUUAUUCUAGGAUGACUAUAAUGAGGUAAUUGAACACCACAAAUAGUCAUUUAAGCAAGGAAAGCAAAGGCUGGUAGCUUCUUAAUUUUCUAUAUUUUCCAACUAGAAUAGUGCUUGAAGGUAUUCAACCACCUUCUUGUCCAACUGGAAGGCCCUGGCAAGGAAAUCAGGAUUGAUGGGUGGAUUUGAUCCAAACACUGCAUCGGCUAUGGUGAUUACACCUGGAUUUUGGCUGUUCAGACCAGCAAUGGCUACUGCAUUAGUGUGCCCAAUGUUGAAUUGGAAGUGAAUGAGACCUAUAGGGAACACAAAAACAUCUCCCUUGUUGAGGACUUUGCUAAAGAGGCGGUUUUGAGGGUUGGAUGUGACAAAGCCAACUAAGAGUGUUCCCUCCAAGACAGUGAGGAUCUCAGUGGCACGAGGGUGAGUGAUCAUGUGAGGAGGGUUUUGACCAUAGGGUGCAUAAUCUAUACGAACCAGUGAUAUCCCAAGAGUGUUAAGUCCUGGUAUUGCAUCAACAUUUACUGUAGUGACAUUUGAGCCCACUCGAUUUGCUGUGUUUCCUGGAAUAUUCAGCCCUUGAAAGAAGAAAUCCUCGGCCACAGUCAGGUUUGCGUUCUUGCAGAACUUUCCAUUUACAAAUACUGCAUUUAAAAAGAAGGGGAAAAGAAAAGAUAGGUCGUUAGUAUCAAACCAUUAUCAAUGGAAAGAGUAGUGAAAAUGGCAAUAAGAUCAUUGGUCACUAUACAUAUAUAGAAAUAUCAGCAUUCUUGGGUUCAGGAAUGGCAACACAAGUGUCCUGAAGUGGGCUUGGAUCAAAGGCAGCGACAAGAGAGGAAGCCAAUGCCAUGAGGGCAACAGCAACCAGGAAGCUGACACCUUUCUUCAUUGUCAGAGUACUGUCUCCAACAAUCAGAGUCUUUAUCUUUAGGUGGGGGUGAUAAAUUUUGCAUGGGAAAGAUGUUAAUUUAUAGACCAGAAUCGGUGAGUUAGUCUUUGCAUAAACUCACAAAGUCUUUAAUGGGUAGUUUUUUUUUUUCAUUUUCAAGGACAAUUAGUUACACCAAUACAUUUUAAUUUAUGUAGGAUUAGUUAGUAUACUGAUCUUAACUAGAAUAUUCUCCAUGAGUGUGUGGAUAGUGGAGUUCAAUUAUAGGUGGAGGCAGGUCAAAUUUCAUAUCAAUCUACAUGAUCCAUGCAAUAACAUAAAUAGUAGAGCUUUCUGCUCUUUUAGUUUUAGUACCCAAACACUGAAAAAUCUCUAAAGUAGUGUAUAGACAAGCAAAUAGAAGAUUACAGAGUAGGCCAUCGGACUAGACAAUAAUCCACCCAUUUCAAACAUGGUUACUCCAUGAGGCUUGUGUAGGUUCAGUUUAAUGAGUAUCUAUAUAGCUUAAUUCACCAUUGAAAGUGUCCAGAGAUUGGCUGAUGAGAUUGAAUAUGUAGCCAAGUUCUGAGUUUCUAGCUCAUGUGCCUUCCACUGAGUGAAAAAUCCUUGGAUAAGCUCUGGGGUUGCUUCAGUUUAAUGAAAUAUUGGGAUAAAUUCAAAGAUUUUCUGCUAUGCUCGUUGGGCUUUCCUCAGUUAAAAAAGCUUUGACUACUUGCAGCCUGCCCUAUCUGAGCAAUUGGCUCAAAAGUUAUUAUUAUUAUUAUCAUGUUUUUUGAUAGUGACUUUAUUUAUGUAUUAUGAGAGGGAAAGAGAUGCUUAACAAACACCUUUGAACUAAGACUUUCUAAAUUAUUUGUUUACAAGUUUUCUUUAACAAUCAAAUCUGUGUUUUUUGGUAAGAAGCAAGAAACCUUGCAUUGGAAAAAUACCAAUUAUUUAGAUAAAGUUCUCAGAUUAGUCUAUGUUUUAUACAUAAGGUAAGCAGAUACACUUUCCAAGCUUUCCAAGUCUUCAAUGGAUGGCCUUUUUUUAAUUUAAAGGUCGAACCCUUAUUCAACAACUACACCCCUUUCCCAUCCUCAACUCAAAGUGGACUCUGCAUAAUCUUUGGGUUUUAGGACUUAUUCGAGGGUAAAUCUAAAGGAGUAACCCUGUGGACAGACCAUCUAUGAUCAGUUUGUGAUUAGUGUCAGACCCAUUAGAUCUUUAUAAGUUGAGGUGAGAAGUUUGCUGCAUGAAUUCGAAUCUACUUUCUUUCCACUUCUUAUCAUCAUGGAGUACAUGACGAAAACUUCAGAUAAAAAUGAAAACUCAAAUUAAACUGUUUUCUUUUCCAUUCUUUCUUCACUAUGUUCAUGACACUUGUGCUUCUCCUACCAUUCAAAUGGUUUAUCUGGACAUCUUAAUUAGUUUCUUCGAUCUUAGUUGAUGGGUUAUAGUGGGAUAAUUUAGAGAAGCAAAAUGGCACCUUUCCAUUUCUGAAUUGUAUGCAGUUGUUGCCUCAAUGUUCAUUUAUUCAUCACCAAUUCCGCCAGCAGUAUGCUGGAAGUAACAGUAGAACUAUUUUACAAUCAGUCAAGUAUUGCUUCUUCAUCAAAAUUCUGCAUAUACUGUAUAUAAUCAAUCAAGCAACUGAGAUUUGUGAUCCAGUUGUUUUUCCACAAGUGAAAUAUCAAAGAUUUGGAUAAGAUUUUUUAAGACAAAUAUUGAGAUGGAGACAGGAGUAGAAGAUGCCUAACAGACAAACUGCUUUAUUUUAAUAUUAGGACCAGAGUCCACACCAAAAGAGCUACAAAAGAAAGUAAUAAACCCUCUUAUUCUAGGAUGAUUGUAAUGAGGUAAUUAAACAUCACAAAUAGUCAUUCAAGCUUGCAAAUCAAAGGUUCCUAGCUUCUUCAUUUUCUCUAUUUCCCCACUAGAAUCGUGCUUGAAGGUAUUUGACCACCUUCUUGUCCAACUGGAAGGCCCUUGCCAGGAAAUCAGGAUUGAUGGGUGGAUUUGAUCCAAAUACUGCAUUGGCUAUGGUGAUUACACCUGGAUUUUGGCUGUUCAGACCAGCAAUGGCUACUGCAUUAAUGUGCCCAAUGUUGAAUUAGAAGUGAAUGAGACCAAUAGGGAACACAAAAACAUCCCCCUUGUUUAGAACUUUGCUAAUGAGGCGGUUUUGAGGGUUGGAUGUGACAAAGCCGACUAAGAGUGUCCCUCCAAGACGGUGAGGAUCUCAGUGGCACGAGGGUGAGUGUGAGGAGGGUUUUGACCGUAGGGUGCAUAAUCGAUACGAACCUGUGAUAUCCCAAGAGUGUUAAGUUCUGGUAUUGCAUCAACAUUUACUGUAGUGACAUUUGAGCCCACUCGAUUUGUUGUGUUUCCUGGGAUAUUCAGCCCUUGAUAGAAGAAAUCCUCGGCCACAGUCAGGUUUGGGUUCUUGCAGAACUUUCCAUUUACAAAUACUGCAUUUAAAAAAAGGGAAAAGAAAAGAUACAUCAUUAGUAUGAAACCACCAUCAAUGGAAAGAUUAAUGAAAAUAGUGACAAGUUCAUUGGUUACUAAAGAAAUACCAGCAUUCUUGGGUUCAUCAAUGGCAACACAAGUGUCCUGCAGUGGGCUUGGAUCAGAGGCAGAGGCAAAAGAUGAAGCCAAUGCCAUGAGGGCCACAGUUACUAGGAAACUAACACCUUUCUCCAUUGUUAGAGUACUGUCUCCAACAAUCACAAAUCUUUGUGUUUAGGUGAGGGGUGAAAAUUUUUGCAUGAGAAACAUGUCAAUUUAUAGAUGGUCUUCAAUGGGUAGGUCCUUUUUUUUUUUUUUUUUUUUUUUUGCUUUCUCACUUACAAGGAUAAGUGUUUUCAUCAAUACGUGUUAAUUUAUGUUGGGUUAGUUAGUAUACUGAUCUUAACUUAAAUAUUUUCAAUGCAUAUGUUGAAAGUGAAGUUCAAUCAGGUGGAGGCAGGUCCAAUUUCAUAUCCAUCUCCAAUAUGAAAAGUUCUCCACAAGAUUUAGUUCCAAAUGGCUAGCUAAUGGAAGAACUACAUAUGGCAAAAUGAAGUGAAAGUAUUCAGGAUUACUUAACCUUUUAAUGCAGCAGAUCAGUCCUUCUGUUUUCUUGGUGACCAAACAUUGAACGAACUCUAAAGUAGUGUAUAUACAGCAAAAAGAAGACCAUUAUUAUUAUCACUAUGGUCUUUGAUAGUGAAUAUAUUUAUGUCUCAUGUACAAAUAUAUUUCCACACUUCUUCACUUUCAUAUGUUUCCAUGCAUCUUCUUUCAUCCACUAUUUUCGCUCCUAUAUUACCAUUUUUUUCCAUCACCCAUCACCCAAAGAGCUUAGUUUGAAUAUAAUCUUGGGGUUAUCUCAAAGUUUCUUUGUGAUUCAACAAGUUUUUUCAUGAGUCAACCAAAUAUUAGACUCAGAUAUCGGUUCAGUACUAGUCAUGGCCAAGAUUUUAACCCUGUUUGAGCUCUCUAUUUCUUUAUACAAUACCCAUUUUUAAAGGCUCGCAAAAUAACCCUAUGAAGAUACAAGAGGAUAGAGAUGCAAAUACAGGGAUGAAAAUGCAAAAGGUUUGAAAACUCUUAACUCUCCAUAUUUCUUCGGUUUCAUGGGUUUCAAUCUUCUUCUCUCAUCAACUAUUUCUGCUCCAAUAUUACCAUUUUUUUUCCAUCACCCAUCACCUGAAGAGCUUAGCUUGGACAUAAUGUUAGGGAUAUCUCAAAGUUUCUUUGUGAUUUAGCAAGUUUAUUCAUGAUUCAACCAAAUAUUGGACUCGGGUAUCGGUUCGAUACCGAUCAUGGCUGAGGCAUAUAUGAAUCGGUUGAGUCGUACUGGUCUCGACCAAGAUUUUGAACCCUGUUUAAGCUUUCUAUUUCUUUGCACAAUACUAAUUUUUGAAGCCUUAUAAAAUAACCCUACGAAGAUACAAGAGGAUGAAGAUGCAAAUACAAGGAUGAAUAUGCAAAGGGUUUGAAGACUUUGAACUCUCCAUACUUCUUCACUACCAUAGGUUUCAAUCUUCUUCACUCAUCCACCAUUUCCAUUCCAAUAUUACCAUUUUUUUUCCAUCACCCAUCACUCGAAGAGCUUAGUUUUGACAUAAUCUUGGGGUUAUGUCAAAGUUUCUUUAUGAUUCAACAAGUUUAUUCAUGAGUCAACUAAAUAUUGGACUUGGGUAUCAGUCUGAUACUAGUCAUGGCCAAGAUUUUGAACCCUUUUUGAGCUCUCUAUUUCUCUACAUAAUACCCAUUUUUGAAGGCUCACAAAAUAACCCUACAAAGAUACAAGAUGAUAGAGAUGCAAAUACAGGGAUGAAGAUGCAAAGGGUUUGAAGACUCUGAACUCUCCAUACUUCUUCACUUUCAUAGGUUUCGAUCUUCUUCUCUCAUUUGCCAUUUCAGCUCCAAUAUUACCAUUUUUUCCAUGACCCAUCACUCGAAGAGCUUAUUUUGGACAUAAUCUUGGGGUUAUCUCAAAGUUUCUUUUUUAUUCAACAAGUUUAUUCAUGAGUCAACCAAAUAUUGGACUCAGGUAUUAGUUCGGUACUGGUCAUGGCCGAGGCGGAUAUGACUUGGCCGAGUCAUACUGGUCUCAAUCGAGAUUUUAAACCCUAUUUGAACUCUCUAUUUCUUUUUCACAGUACCCAUUUGUUAGAAAUUUGAGGCUAAUCCAACCUAUGGUAAUCACCCUAGAGGGGGGGUGAAUGGGGUGAUGGUCUCUUUUCUAACAAUUUAAACAAGUGAAUGCAAGAGACAAUUAUAUGCAAGUAUAUAAUAAUCAAUAUAGAGACAAUUGCAUAUAAAUUAAAGAGUAGGGAAAAGAGAAUGCAAACACAAGAUUUUAUAGUGGUUCGACGCAACCCGGCCUAUAUCCACUCUCCUCUAGCUUCAAUCCUGAGCUUGAGGUUUCACUAAUCCAAGGCUUCCAAACCAAGCCUUCAAGCAAUACAAUUGGAUUAUGGUUCCAAUUCACCCUCUUGGACUUUUGGCUCCAAGCACCCUUUACACUUCUCAAGAGAUAUCCCACUCUUGAACAACCCCUCAAGUGAUACUUCACACUUGAGAAACUUCCUAUCAAAGAUUUACAAAUGAAUGAUCUCUCAAUCUAGCACAAAAACUUUAAGCUCAAAUGAUACAAGAAAAACUAGGAUUGAAUGGUGCACUAAAGAUAUGCAAGUUUUGAAAUAAUGGUGCACUCAAAUAUACUCUUCCAAGGCUCAAAUAUAAUCAAGAAAUAUUUGGGAAGGUUAAUCUCUUGAAACAAUGAAGAUCGAAGCCUUUUUAUAGAAGAAAAAAGCCAAACUAGCCAUUGGGGGUUCGACCGGUCGACCAGUUGACUAGCCAUUAGCAUUUAAUGCAUGGCAAGUGACCGUUGGGCCUUAACCGGACCUCAACUAGUUGAGGUUCAACCUUGACCGUGAAGAGAAGGUCACUGGGAGAAAAAGAAACCUUUUGGCCUCCCUCAACCGGUCGACCGGUUGAGCCAUUUUUUUGGCUCAACACCGAACCAUUUUCAACUUAAAACCUUUUAACACAAGUUUGAAAAUCAUUUAAUACAAGGUUUUAGUUGAAAACAUGAAAUCAUCCAAUUCUUAAGAUAUUUAAAACAAUAUUACUCUUGGAUGAUUUUGGUGCAUAAAUAAAGAAUGAAAUGCAUGAAAGUCCUAGUGCACCAACAACCUUACAAAGAGAUCCUAUGAAGCUUUGGUCUUGAAAAACUCUUCUCUUUGAGGUGGUCUUCUUCUUCAUGAUUUCUUCUUGGUUUGAUUUGUCUUUGUGAUUGCCACUUUGGAAAUCGUCUUGCCUAAUCACACUUGAAAUAUGAUCAUUAGUUCUAAACCUUGUUUUGUUAUCAUAAAAAUCAAGAUUAACCAAACCUUGGUUUCACACCAUUUUUUAAGGCUAACAAAUUAGCCCUACGAAGAUAUAAGAGGAUUAAGAUGCAAAUAAAGGAAUGAAGAUGCAAAGGGUUUGAAGACUCUAAACUCUUCAUACUUUUUCACUUUCAUGGGUUUCAAUCUUCUUAUCUCAUCCACCAUUUUCGCUCCAAUAUUACAAUUUUUUUCCAUCACCCAUCACCCAAAAAGCUUAGUUUGAACAUAAUCUUGGAGUUAUCUCAAAGUUUCUUUUUUAUUCAACAAGUUUAUUCAUGAGUCAACCAAAUAUUGGGCUCAAGUAUCAAUUCAAUAUCGAUCAUGGUUGAGGCGGAUAUGACUCGAUCAAGUUGUACUCGUCUCAACCGAGAUUAUGAAACCUAUUUGAGCUCUCUAUAUAUCUACACAAUACCCAUUUUUGAAGGCUUACAAAAUAGUCCUACGAAGAUACAAAAGGAUGGAGAUGCAAAUACAAGGAUGAAAAUCCAAAGAGUUUGAAGACUCUGAACUCUCCAUAUUUUUUCACUUUCAUGAGUUUUUAUUUUCUUCUCUUAUUUGCCAUUUCCGCUCCAAUAUUACCAUUUUUUUUCCAUUACCCAUCACUCGAAGAGCUUAGUUUGAACAUAAUAUUAAGGUUAUCUCAAAUUUUCUUCGUGAUUCAACAAGUUUAUUCAUAAGUCAACCAAAUAUUGGACUUGGAUAUCUAUUCGAUACUAGUCAUGGUAGAGGCGGAUAUGACUCGACCAAGUCAUACCAGUCUCAACUGAGGUUUUGAACCCUAUUUGAGCUCUCUAUUUCUCUAUACAAUACCCAUUUUGAAGGCUCACAAAAUAGCCCUACCAAGAUACAAGAUAAUGGAGAUGCAAAUAUUACUCGUUGAAUUUCUAGCAAUAAUUGGUUUAUUUUUUAAAUUUUGAACUAUUUUUUAAAAUUAAAUAUCUAUUAAUGAAACAAAAAUACUAACUCUUUCUUGAUUUUCUUCUCUCAUCCACCAUAUCCGCUCCAAUAUUGCCAUUUUUUCCAUCACCCAUCACUCGAAGAGCUUAGUUUGGAUAUAAUCUUAAGGUUAUGUUUCUUUUUUAUUCAACAAGUUUAUUCAUGAGUUAACCAAAUAUUGCAAUGUUUUCAGAACCGGACCGGUGAUCGAACCGGAAAAGUUACCGGUUCACGGUUCACUGGUCGGACCGGCGGUCGAACCGCUAUUGAACCGGUGACAUCAUAAAUAUAUAAUUUAUAUAUUAUUAAAAUUAAAAAUAAUUAUAAAAAUUUUAAAAUAUAUAUGAAUAAAUUAAAAAUCAAUAAUAUUAUCAAAUUAAAUCAUAUUAAUAUUUUUAAUUUUGUUAAAUGAAAUAUGUAAAAUAUUUAAAUAUGAAUAUAUUAAAAAUGAAAAUUUAAACUAAUUUUAUCAUUUUUAAAAAUAUUAUAUUAUUUUUAUUUAACAUUACAAAAUUAAUUUAAAAUCUAAUAUAUAUUAUUUUGUUUAGCAUAUUAACUAACAUAAGCUGUGUAGCCGAGUGGUGCCUUGCAUGCCUUCCAAAUCUGGGGUCCAAGGUUCAAUUCCUCCUGGCUGUGGGGGACUUCUUGUUAUUUUUUUCAUUCAUUUGGUUGGUUAGGAAUCCCACAUCGGAAACAAAGAGAAAUGAGGAAGCCAAGGGUGCCUAUAAAUUCUAUCCACAUUGAAAGCCAACGCAUUCCCUCAUUGGGUGGGCUCAAGACUAAGCCCACAAUAUGGUUGAGUGGGGUUUGGGCUUUGUCAUGAUGAGACAAGCCCAGAAUGGGCAUUUUGCCCAAGACCUUUUUAUGCAAGGGAGCCUUUAAAAUGGAGGUUCAAAUUGAACCGUUCGGUUCGAUUAGAACCGUCCGGUUCGACCGAGUCACCGGUCCGACCGUCGGUUUUGGCGGUUCGUGGCCGGUUUAAAUCUUAAACGGUUCAAUAAGUAGAUCGGACCGGAAUUGUGACCGGUCGACGGUUGAACCGGUUGGACCGGCCGGUCCGGUCCGGUUUUUAAAACAUUGAAAUAUUGGACUCGGGUAUCAGUUAGGUACCGGUCAUGGCCAAGGCAAAUAUGACUUGGUCAAGUCAUACCAGUCUUAACUGAGAUUUUGAACCUUGUUUGAACUCUUUAUUUCUUUGCACAAUACCCAUUUUUUAAGGCUAACAAAAUACCCCAACGAAGAUACAAGAGGAUUGAGAUGCAAAUAUAGGAAUGAAGAUGAAAAGGGUUUGAAGAGUCUAAACUCUUCAUACUUUUCCAUUUUCAUGGGUUUCAAUCUUCUUCUUUCAUCCACCAUUUUCGCUCUGGUAUUACCAUUUUUUUCCAUCACCCAUCAUCCAAAAAGCUUAGUUUGGACAUAAUCUUGGAGUUAUCUCAAAGUUUCUUUUUUAUUCAACAAGUUUAUUCAUGAGUCAACCAAAUAUUGGACUAGGGUAUCGAUUGAUACUAAUCAUGGCUGAAGCGGAUAUGACACGAUCAAGUCAUAUGUGUCUCAACCGAGAUUAUGAACCUUGUUUGAGCUUUCCAUUUCUAUACACAAUACCCAUUUUUGAAGGCUCAAAAAAUAAUCCUACGAAGAUACAAGAUGAUGAAGAUGCAAACACAUGGAUGAAAAUCCAAAGGGUUUGAAGGCUCUGAACUCUCCAUAUUUCUUCACUUUCAUGGGUUUCGAUCUUUUUCUCUCAUCCACCAUUUCCGCUCCAAUAUUACCAUUUUUUUUCCAAUUUUUAUAGUGCAAUGGUUGGCUGUUCACGGACUAGCUGUACCUACCAUUUCUUUUUUGGGGUCAAUAUCAGCAAUGCAGUUCAUCCAACGAUAAACCUAAUCCGAAUUAUAGAGCUACGACACAAUCAAACCCGAAGGAAAGGAUUUGUAUGAUAUCUGAUCUAGGGAAAUAUAUAUAUUAUACUGUGUCAUCCAGAAAAUCGAGUGAUUCCUUAUUACCCAUCACUCGAAGAGCUUAGUUUGGACAUAAUAUUAUGGUUAUCUCAAAUUUUCUUUAUGAUCCAACAAAUUUAUUCACAAGUCAACCAAAUAUUGGACUUAGGUAUCAGUCCGAUACUAGUCAUGGCGGAGGCGGAUAUAACUCGAUUGAGUCGUACCAGUCUCGACUAAGAUUUUGAUCCCUGUUUAAGCUCUUUAUUUCUCUGUACAAUACCCAUUUUGAAGGCUUCCAAAAUAGCCCUACCAAGAUACAAGAUAAUGGGGAUGCAAAUAUUACUCCUUGAAUUACUGGCAAUAAUUGGUUUAUUUUUUUAAUUUUGAACUAUUUUUUAAAAUUAAAUAUUUGUUAAUGAAACAAAAGCACUAACUCCUUCUUGAUUUGGAGUUUAUUUGUUGAAUGAAAUUUUUUGGAUAAUUUUGGUUUUGCGCAUAAGAGAAAUAAUGAACCAAUUGUUGUUCAUAAAUUCAUAAAAUUGGAUUAGCAUUUGAGUUUCAAAUUAUUUUUAAAAGUGCUUACAUUCAUUAAUGAAUCUAAUACACUAAGUUCCUCUUUGGGAUGAAUUUUGAACGAGGCUAAAAGCGUUUCCUAACACUAGAAAGCAAUCUUAAAAAAAUGGUUGAAAAUCACUUUUAAAAAUCUAAAUGAUGACAUGAUUCUUCAAACUAUCACAUUUUUGUUAUAUUAUACAUUACCAAAACAUUCUCUGAACAUAUUUUUUUUUAAAUUUAUAAUAUGCAUUUCCUACAAAACAAUCUUAAAAAAAUAUGUAUAUCAUCGAUAAUUAAAUUACGGUUUGACAGUGAUUUUAGCAAUUGUUUUUAGUUUUUUUAAUACUUUAAAAAUAACAGCAGUGAAUUUAGGAAACGUUUCUAGCUUUUUUAACACUUGAAUGAUAUAAAUUUUCAAGUAUUAGAAAAGUUAAAAAUGUUUCCUAAAAUCACUACUAAACAGGCUUUAAUCAGUAGUAGUAAUUAAUUGGUAUUGAAUAACUGUAAUGCAGUUUCCUAAAUGUAGUAUUGAGACAGAAACAGAGAGGAAGAGAGAGAUGCUUAACAAACAAAUUGCUUUAUUGUAGUAAUAUGCCCAAAGUCCACACCAGAAGAGUUACAACUAGACCCUCUUAUCAUACUAGGAUUGUUAUAACGAGGGAAUUGAACAUCAUAAAUAGUCAUUCAAGCAAGGAAAUGAAAGGUUGAUAGCUUCUUCUUUUUCUAUAUUCCCCCACUAGAAUCGUGCUUGAAGGUAUUCAACCACCUUCUUGUCCAACUAGAAGGCCCUUGCCAGGAAAUCAGGAUUGAUGGGUGGAUUUGAUCCAAACACUGCAUUGGCUAUGGUGAUUACACCUGGAUUUUGGCUGUUCAGACCAGCAAUGGCUACUGCAUUAGUGUGCCCAAUGUUGAAUUGGAAGUGAAUGAGACCGAUAGGGAACACAAAAACAUCCCCUUUGUUGAGGACUUUGCUAAUGAAGCGGUUUUGAGGGUUGGAUGUGACAAAGCCAACUAAGAGUGUUCCCUCCAAAACAGUGAGGAUCUCACUGGCACGGGGGUGAAUGUGAGAAGGGUUUUGACCAUAGGGUGCAUAAUCGAUACGAACCAGUGAUAUCCCAAGAGUGUUUUGUCCCGGUAGUACAUCAACAUUUAUAAUAGUGACAUUUGAGCCCACUAGAUUUGUUGUGUUUCCUGGAAUAUUCAGCCCUUGAUACAAGAAAUCGUCGGCCACGGUCAGGUUUGGGUUCUUGCAGAACUUUCCAUUUACAAAUACUGCAUUUAAAAAAACAAAAGGAAAAUAAAAGAUAGGUCAUUAGUAUCAAACCACCAUCAAUGGAAAGAUUAGUGAAAAUAGUGACAAGAUCAUUGGUUACUAAAGAAAUACCAGCAUUCUCGGGUUCAUCAAUGGCAACACAAGUGUCUUGCAGUGGCCUUGGAUCAAAGGCAGAGGCAAGAGAGGAAGCCAAUGCCAUGAGGGCAACAGUUACCAGGGAACUAACACCUUUCUUCAUUGUUAGAGAACUAUCUCCAACAAUCACAAUCUUUAUCUUUAGGUGGGGGUGAGAAAUUUUGCAUGGGAAAGAUGUUAAUUUAUAGACCAGUCAAUGAGUUAAGUCUUUGCAUAAACUCAUAAAGUCUUCAAUGGUGUUGAGGCCUAGCGUCCCAACGAUCCACGCAGUUGCCAAGUGGACGCACGCUUUCAACCAAGAUUAAGUUCUGGUUCAGUUGUCCUUGCAAAAGAUGUCCGGACAGGGUGUCCGGACACACCCUCCGAUGGUUUUGUCAGCCAUGACCCGAGAGAUUAAGCAGUUGGCCUUUUUCUAGGUAUAGCAAGCUUACCUUCCUCCUUGUGUGAAGGUCCUUAUAUAUAGUGUCAGAGGCUCUGCCUCCCUCUUUAAUGAUGGGAAGAUUUUUUGGCUCGUCAUGAGGCCUCUAGGUGGUGGCAGGGUCAUCAUCAUCCUACGAGCGGCUGUUAGAGAUCGUGGGAGGUGACUUGCCAUCAUUCCUAUCCUUUCGCUCUGCAGGCGGCGGAACGUGGACUGUGGCAGGCUAUCGGAAUGACGUAGCAAGGCAUGCUCACUUUAAUCAAUGAUCCGGACAACAUAUCCGGAUAGGAUAUGCUGUCGUCCGGAUGUGAUGUUCGCGAGUGCCGUGUGCCUUUCCCUGAGGGAGUCCGGAUAGGGGAGCGCGCCACGUGUCCUCUUGGGGGGAAUCUGGAUGGAGUUGCUUCAGAUAGAGAUAUGUGCCACGUGUCAUCAGGGGGAGGGGUCCCUACAAUGGGUAGUUUUUUCUUUUCUUUUCUUUUUUUCACUUUCAACUUCAAGUGGUUACACCAAUACAUGUUGAUUUAUGUAGGAUUAGUUAGUUACUAUACUGAUCUUAACUAGAAAAUUCUCCAUGCGUGUGGAAAGUGAAGUUCAAUUAUUGGUGGAGGCAGGUCCAAUUUCAUAUCAAUCUGCAUGAUCCAUACAUUUACAUAAAUAGUAGAUUGAAUAUUACUACUAUUCAAACACUGAAAAAUAUGUAUAGAGUAUUGACAAGAAAAUAGAAGAUUACAGAGUCGGUGCAGGCUUGGACUAGACAAUAACCCACCCAUUCCAAACAUGGUUACUCUAUGAGGCUUGUGUAGGUUCAGUUUAAUGAGUAUCUAUAUAGCUUAAUUAACCAGUCAAAGUUUUCAGAGAUUGGCUGAUGAGAUUGAAUAUGUAGCCAAGUUCUGAGUUUCUAGCUCAUGUGCCUUCCACUGAGUGAAAAUCCUUGGAUAAUCUCUGGGGUUGCUAAAGUUUAAUGAAAAAUAGGGAUAAAUUCAAAGAUUUUCUGCUAUGCUCAUUAGGCUUUCCUCGGUUACAAAAGCUUUGACCAUGAUUUUUAUGCUUGCAGCCUUCCCUGUUGGCUCAAAAGUUAUUAUUAUUAUUAUUAUUAUGGUUUGAGAGAGAAAGAGAUCUUAUAAACACCUUUAAACUAAGACUUUUUAAUUAGUUGUUUAUAAGUUGUCUUUAACAAUUACGUCGGUGUUUCCUGGUGAGAAGCAAGAAAACUUGCAUUUGAAAAAUACCAACCUUUUCAAAUUUAAAGGUUGAACCAUUCUUCGAUUACACUUCUUUCUCAUCCUUUUCUCCUCAACUUAUGCUCUAGACUCUAGAAUGGAUUCUACAUAAUCUUCGGGUUUUAGGCCUUAUUCCAGUGUAAAGCUAAGAAGUAAACCAGUGGGCAGGCCAUCUCUAAUCAGUUUGUGAUUAGUGUCAUGACCUAGAUCUUUAUAAGAAGUUGGGGUCAGAGGUUUGUUUACAGUGGAUGUCAUAAGAUUUAUGGGCUUUCAUUUCUAUUCUUUCCUCACUAUUUCAUAACACUUAUGCUUCUCUCACCAUUCAUAUGGUUUUACUUGGACAUCUUAAUGAGUUUUUUCGAUCUCAGUUGAUGGGAGUUAUAAUGGGAUAAUUUAGAGAAGCAAAUUAAUGGCAUCUUUCCAUUUCUGAAUUGUAUGGGGUUGUUGCCUCAAUGUUCAUGUCUUCAUCACCAAUUCUGUCAGCAGUAUGCGAGAAGUAACAGUAGUUCUGUUUUAUGCAUAUCCUGUAUUUAAUCAAUCAAUCAACUGAGAUUUGUUAUUCAGUUGCUUCUUUUACAAGUGAAAUCUCAAAGAUUUAUUUAAGAUUUUUUAAUGAAAACAUAGGGUAAUCCUGGAUAUGGUAUUGGAUAGUGAGAGAAGAAGAUGGCUAAUACACAAACUGCUUUAUUUUAAUAUUAGGACCAAAGUCCACAUCAAACAAGCUACAACAUAAAGUAAUAAACCCUCUUAUUCUAGGAUGACCGUAAUGAGGUAAUUGAACAUCACAAAUAGUCAUUGAAGCAAGGAAAUCAAAGGCUGGUAGCUUCUUAAUUUUCUAUAUUUUCCAACUAGAAUCGUGCUUGAAGGUAUUCAACCACUUUCUUGUCCAACUGGAAGGCCCUGGCAAGGAAAUCAGGAUUGAUGGGUGGAUUUGAUCCAAACACUGCAUCGGCUAUGGUGAUUACACCUGGAUUUUGGCUGUUCAGACCAGCAAUGGCUACUGCAUUAGUGUGCCCAAUGUUGAAUUGGAAGUGAAUGAGACCUAUAGGGAACACAAAAACAUCCCCCUUGUUGAGGACUUUGCUAAAGAGGCGGUUUUGAGGGUUGGAUGUGACAAAGCCAACUAAGAGUGUUCCCUCCAAGACAGUGAGGAUCUCAGUGGCACGAGGGUGAGUGUGAGGAGGGUUUUGACCAUAGGGUGCAUAAUCGAUACGAACCAGUGAUAUCCCAAGAGUGUUAAGUCCUGGUAUUGCAUCAACAUUUACUGUAGUGACAUUUGAGCCCACUCGAUUUGCUGUGUUUCCUGGAAUAUUCAGCCCUUGAAAGAAGAAAUCCUCGGCCACAGUCAGGUUUGGGUUCUUGCAGAACUUUCCAUUUACAAAUACUGCAUUUAAAAAGAAGGGGAAAAGAAAAGAUAGGUCAUUAGUAUCAAACCAUUAUCAAUGGAAAGAGUAGUGAAAAUGGCAAUAAGAUCAUUGGUCACUAUAUAUAUAGAAAUACCAGCAUUCUCGGGUUCAGGAAUGGCAACACAAGUGUCCUGAAGUGGGCUAGGAUCAAAGGCAGCGGCAAGAGAGGAAGCCAAUGCCAUGAGGGCAACAGCAACCAGGAAACUGACACCUUUCUUCAUUGUCAGAGUACUGUCUCCAACAAUCACAGCCUUUAUCUUUUGGUGGGGGUGAUAAAUUUUGCAUGGGAAAGAUGUUAAUUUAUAGACCAGAAUCGGUGAGUUAGUCUUUGCAUAAACUCACAAAGUCUUUAAUGGGUAGUUUUUUUUUUCAUUUUCAAGGACAAUUAGUUACACCAAUACAUUUUAAUUUAUGUAGGAUUAGUUAGUAUACUGAUCUUAACUAGAAUAUUCUCCAUGAGUGUGUGGAUAGUGGAGUUCAAUUAUAGGUGGAGGCAGGUCAAAUUUCAUAUCAAUCUACAUGAUCCAUGCAAUAACAUAAAUAGUAGAGCUUUCUGCUCUUUUAGUUUUAGUACCCAAACACUGAAAAAUCUCUAAAGUAGUGUAUAGACAAGCAAAUAGAAGAUUACAGAGUAGGCCAUCGGACUAGACAAUAAUCCACCCAUUUCAAACAUGGUUACUCCAUGAGGCUUGUGUAGGUUCAGUUUAAUGAGUAUCUAUAUAGCUUAAUUCACCAUUGAAAGUGUCCAGAGAUUGGCUGAUGAGAUUGAAUAUGUAGCCAAGUUCUGAGUUUCUAGCUCAUGUGCCUUCCACUGAGUGAAAAAUCCUUGGAUAAGCUCUGGGGUUGCUUCUGUUUAAUGAAAUAUUGGGAUAAAUUCAAAGAUUUUCUGCUAUGCUCGUUGGGCUUUCCUCAGUUAAAAAAGCUUUGACUACUUGCAGCCUGCCCUAUCUGAGCAAUUGGCUCAAAAGUUAUUAAUAUUAUUAUCAUGUUUUUUGAUAGUGACUUUAUUUAUGUAUUAUGAGAGGGAAAGAGAUGCUUAACAAACACCUUUGAACUAAGACUUUCUAAAUUAUUUGUUUACAAGUUUUCUUUAACAAUCAAAUCUGUGUUUUUUGGUAAGAAGCAAGAAACCUUGCAUUGGAAAAAUACCAAUUAUUUAGAUAAAGUUCUCAGAUUAGUCUAUGUUUUAUACAUAAGGUAAGCAGAUACACUUUCCAAGCUUUCCAAGUCUUCAAUGGAUGGCCUUUUUUAAAUUUAAAGGUCAAACCCUUGUUCAACAACUACACCCCUUUCCCAUCCUUUUUUCCUCAACUCAAAGUGGACUCUGCAUAAUCUUUGGGUUUUAGGACUUAUUCGAGGGUAAAUCUAAAGGAGUAACCCUGUGGACAGACCAUCUAUGAUCAGUUUGUGAUUAGUGUCAUCAGUCAUGACCCAUUAGAUCUUUAUAAGUUGAGGUGAGAAGUUUGCUGCAUGAAUUCGAAUCUACUUUCUUUCCACUUCUUAUCAGCAUGGAGUGCAUGACGAAAACUUCAGAUAAAAAUGAAAACUCAAAUUAAACUGUUUUCUUUUCCAUUCUUUCUUCACUAUGUUCAUGACACUUGUGCUUCUCCUACCAUUCAAAUGGUUUAUCUGGACAUCUUAAUUAGUUUCUUCGAUCUUAGUUGAUGGGUUAUAGUGGGAUAAUUUAGAGAAGCAAAAUGGCACCUUUCCAUUUCUGAAUUGUAUGCAGUUGUUGCCUCAAUGUUCAUUUCUUCAUCACCAAUUCUGCCGGCAGUAUUGUAAAGUGUGAUUAAAGGGUCAAAGCUUGACCCUAAUUGAUAUUCAUCCACGUAAAUAUAUAGUACAUCAAGCAAACCUAAUUAAGGGAAAACCGUGAGUUUAGGAAACAAUCCUAAACAAUAGCAACUACUUUCCUAGAAUACUUUCCUAGAAUAUAUCAUAAUAUCUCAAUCGUGAGUUUAGGAAACAAUCCUAAACAAUAGCAACUACUUUCCUAAUAUACUUUCCUAGAAUAUAUCAUAAUAUCUCAACACCCUCCCUCAAGUUGGAGCAUGAGGUUCAAAAAUGCCCAACUUGGCAAGAAGAUAAUCAAAUUGUUUCUUUCCAAGAGCCUUUGUAAAAAUAUCUGCCAAUUGUGUAACAGUAGGAACAUAUGAUGGAGCAAUCAAACCAUCUGUUAUCGCAUCCCGGACAAAGUGACAAUCAACCUCAAUGUGUUUGGUGCGUUCAUGAAAUACUGGAUUUUUGGCCAUAUGAAGGGCUGACUGACUAUCACAAAAGAGCUUGAUUGCCUUUGGGUGGUGCACACCCAGGCUCAGAAGCAACCCCUUCAACCAUUUGAGCUCACAAGUAACUGCUGCCAUAGCUCGGUAUUCCGCUUCUGCAGACGAGCGGGAAACUGUGUGUUGCUUCUUUGUCUUCCAAGAAAUAGGAGAUUGCCCAAGAAACACAAGCCAUCCGGACAAAGAGCGUCUAGUGACUGGACAUGCUGCCCAAUCAGAAUCACACCAACCCUGUAGGGACAGAUCACUAUCUGCACGUAACAAGAUACCCUGACCCGGAGUACCUUUCAAAUAACGAACGACUCUCAAAGCUGCCUCCCAAUGCUCAAUUCUAGGCUCAUGCAUAAAUUGAGAUAAUAUAUGAACCGAGUAGGCCAAAUCUGGACGGGUCACUGCCAGAUAAAUGAGUCGACCUACUAAUCUGCGAUAGGACUCAGGGUUCGACAAGAGCUCCCCAUUUGCGAGUCCUAAUCUGUGAUUUUGCUCGAUCGGGAAGCCACACGGCUUGGCUCCCAGUAAUCCGGCCUCCGAUACAAUGUCAAGUGUGUACUUACGUUGACACAAGAACAAACCAGCCGAACUCCUGGCCACCUCGAUUCCGAGGAAAUACUUCAAAACACCAAGAUCUUUCAUCUUAAAACAAUCACUGAGAUAGGCUUUAAAGGUCUUAAGAGCAGCGGAAUCAUUCCCAGAGAUAAUAAGAUCGUCGACAUACACUAGCACAUUUAUUUGAACAUUGCCCGUAGUGUAAGUAAAAAGAGAAUAAUCAGAGUAGGAUUGUAAGAAACCAUAUCCUUUAAGAGCCGUGACCAACUUGGAAAACCAACAUCUCGGAGCCUGUUUCAACCCAUAAAGUGAUUUCCGUAACCUGCAAACCAAGUUCGGAUCGGAACGCUCAAAUCCUGGGGGUAGCUUCAUAUACACUUCCUCCUCAAGAUCUCCAUGUAAAAAGGCAUUGUGAACAUCCAUCUGAUGAAGUUCCCAAUUUUUCGAAGCCGCAAUAGCCAAGAAAGCACGCACCGUAGUCAUUUUGGCAACUGGAGAAAAUGUCUCAUGAUAAUCAAUACCAGCUUCUUGAUGAUUCCCCAAAACUACUAAUCUGGAUUUGAGCCUUUCAAUAUCACCGUUUGAGAAGUACUUGGUUCUGUAAACCCACUGACUUCCCAAAGCACGCUUACCCUUUGGAAGAGGUUCAAGACUCCACGUACCAUUUUCCUCCAAAGCCCGAAUCUCCUCAUGCAUUGACUUUUGCCAACCGACAUCUUUCAUAGCCUCUUUAAAUGACUUAGGAUCAUUGCUCGAAAUAAUAGUUGCAAGAAACUUUCGAUAAUGUACAGAAAAAUUGUCACAAUUUAUAUAAUGUGCUAUGGGAUAAGGAGUACCUGAGGGAUGCUGUGGAGACGGAGUGGCGGGAGAUGGACUUUCAGCAACCACCGUAUGAGUAACAAAAUCUCGUAAUAGAACCGAAGGAAAUUUAUCCCUCAUUCCCUUUCCCAUAGGAGCAGACUGCCCAUUGCUUGAAUUGUCAAGUCCAAGUGAAUCAAGCCCAACAGUAGGAACAACUUCCGGCCCAGGUGAAAGAGGCGCUGAAGAAGCCUCGGGAUUUUGUGUUUGGGCUUGUGGGUUAGGCAAAUCAGCAUCAUCAUCGACAAAAUCAGCAAAAUCACUAUCAAUUUCAACAUUUACCGUAGGCACAAUGUUUUCCGGAAUAAUAUUCACAGCACCCGGGUUACCAAACGGAAAAACAUCCUCAAAAAACUUGACAUCACGAGAAACAAAUAAUUCCUUGGUGUCCAAAUCAAACAACUUCCACCCCUUCUUUCCAAACGGGUAACCCAAAAACACACAUUUUCUACUUCUACUUGCAAAUUUGUCACCUUUGGAUUUUUGAUCAUGAGCAAAACUAAGACAACCAAAGGUGUGAAUUGCCGCAUAUGAAGGAGGGGUGCCAAAUAGGAUUUCAAAUGGUGUUUUAUUGUGUAACAAAGGAGAGGGAGUGCGGUUUAUUAAGUGAGCAGCGGCAAGAACACUUUCGCCCCAAAAAUAAAUAGGCAAAUUUGCUUGAAAGCGUAAUGCCCUCCCCACAUUUAAAAUAUGCUUGUGUUUUCUCUCAACCCUCCCAUUUUGUUGCGGAGUUCCCACACAAGAAGUUUGGAAUAAAAUACCAGUUGCAGAAAAAUAGUCAAGUAGGCAUUUAAAUUCCGUACCAUUAUCACUUUGAACAACUUUCACUGUUUGAGAAAAUUGUCGAUCUACCAUUGCAAUAAAAGACAUAAACAUCCGAAAAACUUCUGUUUUGUCGACCAACAAAUAAAUCCACACAGCUCUUGAGAAAUCAUCAACAAUAGUUAAAAAAUAACGAGCUCCACAAGAAGAGACAUGUUUAUAAGAGCCCCACAAAUCACAAUGUAUUUUCUCAAAAAUUCUAGUUGCCUUAUUGUCACUUAAAGGAAAUUUGUCUCUAGGAUGCUUAGCACGAAAACAUAUUUCACAAGCUUUGUUUAAACUACCCUUAAGAUUGCUAACUGGAGGAAGUAACUUCACUACUUUCUCUGAAGGAUGUCCCAUCCUUUUGUGCCACAACUCCAAAGUGGAUGCUGCGUUGUGGACAGAAACAUGUUGUACCGAAUCACCUUCAGCUCCACCGAAGUAGUAAAGUCCAUCUCGCCUAACUCCCGUUCCAAUCAGCUCCCUGGUGUGGUCCUGUAUAGCACACAUAUAAGAGUUAAAUUGGACAAUACAAUGUAAGUCAUCAGUCAAUUGUGAAACCGAAAGUAAAUUGCAAUUGAGUUUCGGCACAUAAAGAACGUUUUGAAGAGUGAUGUUAUUCGACAAACGAACGGAACCAGAUUGGGUCGCAACAACAGAUUCACCAUUAGGAAGGCCAACCGGACACUCAAACAACGCUAUAGUAUCAAAUAACCAAGAUAAAUCACCGGUCACGUGAUGAGUUGCCCCGGUGUCAAUGAUCCAUGACUUCGUGUCAAACUUACCAUUCAACCUGUCAUCCAGAACUUGAGCAUUACCAAUUAAGCCCGCAAGAGCUUUCCAUUGUUUGGGCAAAAAAGGUGAAUUCAUCUCCCUUUUAGGUGGCGACAAUGGUGGUUGUUCAUCGUCGCCGGCCAUUGUUUUAUUGUGUGUGCAUGUCAGCGCUCUGAUACCAUGUAAAGUGUGAUUAAAGGGUCAAAGCUUGACCCUAAUUGAUAUUCAUCCACGUAAAUAUAUAGUACAUCAAGCAAACCUAAUUAAGGGAAAACCGUGAGUUUAGGAAACAAUCCUAAACAAUAGCAACUACUUUCCUAGAAUACUUUCCUAGAAUAUAUCAUAAUAUCUCAAUCGUGAGUUUAGGAAACAAUCCUAAACAAUAGCAACUACUUUCCUAAUAUACUUUCCUAGAAUAUAUCAUAAUAUCUCAACAAGUAUGCUGGAAGUAACAGUAGAACUAUUUUACAACCAGUCAAGUAUUGCUUCUUCAUCAAAAUUCUGCAUAUCCUGUAUAUAAUCAAUCAAGCAACUGAGAUUUGUGAUCCAGUUGUUUUUCCACAAGUGAAACAUCAAAGAUUUGGAUAAGAUUUUUUAAGACAAAUAUUGAGAUGGAGACAGGAGUAGAAGAUGCCUAACAGACAAACUGCCUUAUUUUAAUAUUAGGACCAGAGUCCACACCAAAAGAGCUACAAAAGAAAGUAAUAAACCCUCUUAUUCUAGGAUGAUUGUAAUGAGGUAAUUAAACAUCACAAAUAGUCAUUCAAGCUUGCAAAUCAAAGGUUCCUAGCUUCUUCAUUUUCUCUAUUUCCCCACUAGAAUCGUGCUUGAAGGUAUUUGACCACCUUCUUGUCCAACUGGAAGGCCCUUGCCAGGAAAUCAGGAUUGAUGGGUGGAUUUGAUCCAAAUACUGCAUUGGCUAUGGUGAUUACACCUGGAUUUUGGCUGUUCAGACCAGCAAUGGCUACUGCAUUAAUGUGCCCAAUGUUGAAUUGGAAGUGAAUGAGACCAAUAGGGAACACAAAAACAUCCCCCUUGUUUAGAACUUUGCUAAUGAGGCGGUUUUGAGGGUUGGAUGUGACAAAGCCAACUAAGAGUGUUCCCUCCAAGACGGUGAGGAUCUCAGUGGCACGAGGGUGAGUGUGAGGAGGGUUUUGACCAUAGGGUGCAUAAUCUAUACGAACCAGUGAUAUCCCAAGAGUGUUAAGCCCUGGUAUUGCAUCAACAUUUACUGUAUUGACAUUUGAGCCCACUAGAUUUGCUGUGUUUCCUGGAAUAUUCAGCCCUUGAAAGAAGAAAUCCUCGGCCACAGUCAGGUUUGGGUUCUUGCAGAACUUUCCAUUUACAAAUACUGCAUUUAAAAAGAAGGGGAAAAGAAAAGAUAGGUCAUUAGUAUCAAACCAUUAUCAAUGGAAAGAGUAGUGAAAAUGGCAAUAAGAUCAUUGGUCACUAUAUAUAUAGAAAUACCAGCAUUCUUGGGUUCAGGAAUGGCAACACAAGUGUCCUGCAGUGGGCUUGGAUCAAAGGCAGCGGCAAGAGAGGAAGCCAAUGCCAUGAGGGCAACAGCAACCAGGAAACUGACACCUUUCUUCAUUGUCAGAGUGCUGUCUCCAACAAUCAGAGUCUUUAUCUUUAGGUGGGGGUGAGAAAUUUUGCAUGGGAAAGAUGUUAAUUUAUAGACCAGAGUCAGUGAGUUAAUCUUUGCAUAAACUCACCAAGUCUUCAAUGGGUAGUUUUUUUUUUUUUUUUCUUCUUUUUCACUUUCAAGGACAAGUGGUUACACCAAUACAUUUAAAUUUAUGUAGGAUUAGUUAGUUAGUAUACUGAUCUUAAUUAGAAUAUAAAGUGAAGUUCAAUUAUUGGAGGCAGGUCCAAUUUCAUAUCAAUCUGCAUGAUCCAUGCAUUUACAUAUAUAGUACAGCUUUCUGCUCUUUUAGUAUUACUACCGAAAGACUGAAAAAUCUGUAGUGUAUAGACAAGCAAAUCGAAGAUUACAGAGUAGGUGAAGGCUCAGACUAGACAAUAAUCCACCAAUUUCAAACAUGGUUACUCCAUGAGGCUUGUGUAGGUUCGGUUUAAUAAGUAUCUAUAUAGCUUAAUUCACCAUUGAAAGUGUCCAGAGAUUGGCUGAUGAGAUUGAAUAUGUGGCCAAGUUCUGAGUUUCUAGCUCAUCUGCCUUCCACUGAGUGAAAAAUCCUUGGAUAAACUCUGGGGUUGCCUCAGUUUAAUGAAAGAUUGGGAUAAAUUCCAAGAUUUUCUGCUAUGCUCAUUGGGCUUUCCUCAGUUAAAAAAGCUUUGACCUCUUGCUGCCUGCCCUAUCUGAGCAAUUGGCUCAAAAGUUAUUAUUAUUAUUAUUAUUAUUAUGUUUUUUGAUAGGGACUUUAUUUAUGUAUUAUGAGAGAGAAAGAGAUGCUUAACAAACACCUUUAAACUAAGACUCUCUAAAUUAGUUGUUUACAAGUUGUCUUUAACAAUCAAAUCUGUGUUUUUUGGUAAGAAGCAAGAAACCUUGCAUUGGAAAAAUACCAAUUAUUUAGAUAAAGUUCUCAGAUUAGUCUAUGUUCUAUGCAUAAGGUAAGAAGAUACACCUUCCAAGUCUUCAAUGGAUGGCUUUUUUUAAAUUUUAAGGUUGAACCAUUCUUCAACAACUACACCCCUUUCUCAUCCUUUUUCCUUAAAUCAUGGUCUAGACUUCAGAGUGGACUCUGCAUAAUCUUCAGGUUUUGGGACUUAAUGCAGGGUAGAGCUAAGGAGUAAACCUGUGGACAGGCCAUCUAUAAUCAGUUUGUGAUUAGUGUCAUGACCCAUUAGUCUUUUAUAAGUUGAGGUCAGAAGCUCGUUGCAUGAAUUGAAAUCUACUUUCUUCCCACUUGUUUUCAGAAUGGAGUACAUGACAAAAACUUCAGAUAAAAAUCAAAACUCACAUUAAACUUAUAAUUAAUUGGUCUUGUCUACAGUAGAUGUCAUAAGAUUUCUGGGUUUUCAUUUCCUUUCUUUCUUCACAAUUUUCAUGACACUUAUGCUUCUCCCACCAUUCAAAUGGUUUACUUGGACAUUUUAAUUAGUUUCUUCGAUCUCGUUUGAUGGGUUAUAAUGGGAUAAUUUAGAGAAGCAAAAUGGCAUCUUUCCAUUUCUAAAUUGGAUGCAGUUGUUGCCUCAAUGUUCAUUUUUUCAUCACCAAUUCUGCCAGCAGUAUGCUGGGAGUAACAGUAACUGUUUUACAACUAGUUAAGUAUUCCUUCUUAAUCAACAUUCUGCAUAUACAGGUUAAUCAAUCAUCUGAGAGUUGUUAUCCAGUUGGUUUUUCACAAGAUAAGAUUUUUUAAGACAAAUACUGAGAUGGAGACAGAGAAGAAGAUGCCUAACAGACAAACUGCUUUAUUUUAAUAUUAGGACCAAAGUCCACUCCACAGGAGCUACAAAAGAAAGUAAUAAACCCUCUUAUUCUAGGAUGAUUGUAAUGAGGUAAUUGGACAUCACAAAUAGUCAUUCAAGCAAGUAAAUCAAAGGUUGACAGCUUCUUCAUUUUCUCCAUUUUCCCACUAGAAUCGUGCUUGAAGGAAUUCAACCACCUUCUUGUCCAACUGGAAGGCCGUUGCCAGGAAAUCGGGAUUGAUGGGUGGAUUUGAUCCAAACACUGCAUUGGCUAUGGUGAUUACACCUGGAUUUUGGCUGCUCAGACCAGCAAUGGCUACUGCAUUCAUGUGCCCAAUGUUGAAUUGGAAGUGAAUGAGACCAAUAGGGAACACAAAAACAUCCCCCUUGUUUAGAACUUUGCUAAAGAGGCGGUUUUGAGGUUUGAGGGUUGGAUGUGACAAAGCCAACUAAGAGUGUUCCCUCCAAGACAGUGAGGAUCUCAGUGGCACGAGGGUGAGUGUGAGGAGGGUUUUGACCGUAGGGUGCAUAAUCGAUACGAACCAGUGAUAUCCCAAGAGUGUUAAGUCCUGGUAUUGCAUCAACAUUUACUGUAGUGACAUUUGAGCCCACUCGAUUUGUUGUGUUUCCUGGAAUAUUCAGCCCUUGAUAGAAGAAAUCCUCGGCCACAGUCAGGUUUGGGUUCUUGCAGAACUUUCCAUUUACAAAUACUGCAUUUAAAAAAAGGGAAAAGAAAAGAUAUAUCAUUAGUAUGAAACCACCAUCAAUGGAAAGAUUAAUGAAAGUAGUGAUAAGAUCAUUGGUUACUAAAGAAAUACCAGCAUUCUUGGGUUCAUCAAUGGCAACACAAGUGUCCUGCAGUGGGCUUGGAUCAGAGGCAGAGGCAAGAGAGGAUGCCAAUGCCAUGAGGGCAACAGCUACCAGAAGACUAACACCAUUCUUCAUUGUUAGAGUCCUGUCUUCAACAAUCACAAAUCUUUGUGUUGAGGUGCGGGGUGAGAAAUUUUGCAUGGAAAACAUGUCAAUUUAUAGACGGUCUUCAAUGGGUAGGUUUUCCUUUUUUAUCCUUUUCUUCACUUUCAAAGACAAGUGGUUACACCAGUACAUGCUAAUUUAUGUGGGAUUAGUUAGUUAGUUUAUUGAUCUUAGCUAGAAUAUUCUCUAUGCAUGUGUGGAAAGUGAGGGUCAAUUAGUGGAGGCAGGUCCAAUUUCAUAUCAAUCUGCAUGAUCCAUGCAUUUAUUUUAGUAUUAGUACCCAAACAGUGAAAUAUCUGUAAAGUAGUGUAUAGGCAAGCAACUAGAAGAUUACAGAGUAGGUGCAAGCCUGGACUAUAGAAAUAGAAUAACCUAACCAAUUCAAACCUGGUUACUCAAUGAGGCUUGUGUAGGUUCAGUUUAAAGAAUAUCUAUAUAGGAAUAUUAGUGAAUUUAUACUGCUUUAGUGUAAAUGUAAUGUGACUUACUUUCAUGAAAUAGUUGAUCUCUAUUAUGUAGCCAAGUUCUGAGUUUCUAGCUCAUGUGCCUUCCACUUUGUGAAAAAUCAUUGGAUAAGCUCUGGAUUGCUUUAGUUCAAUGAAACAUUGGGAUGAAUUCAAAGAUUUUCUGCUAUGCUCAUUAGGCUUUCCUCAGUUACAAAAGCUCUGACUAUAAUUUUGAUACUUGCAGCCUGCCAUAUCUGAGCAAUUGGCUCUAAACAUGAGUGAAAUAGCUGCAUGACAAACACCUUUGAACUAGGGCAUUCUUAACUAGUUGUUAAGUUGUCUUAAAGAAUAACAAUCUGUGUUUUCUGGGGAGAAGCAAGAAACCCUGUAUUGGAAAAAUGGCAAUUAAUUAGAUAAAUUCAUCGGAUUAGUCUAUGUUUUAUACAUAAGGUAAGCAGAUACACUUUCCAAGUCUUCAAUGGAUGGCAUUUUUUAAAUUUAAAGGUUGAACCAUUCUUCAACAACUACACCCCUUGCUCAUCCUUUUUCCCUCAACUCAUGGUCUGGACUUUAGAGUGGACUCUGCGUAAUGUUUGGGUUUCAGGACUAAUUCCAGGGUAGAGCUAAGGAGUAAACCUGUGGACAGGCCAUCUAUAAUCAGUUUGUGAUUAGUGUCAUGACCCAUUAGUCUUUUAUAAGUUGAGGUCAGAAGCUUGUUGCAUGAAUUGAAAUCUACUUUCUUCCCACUUGUUUUCAGAAUGGAGUACAUGACAAAAACAUCAGAUAAAAAUCAAAACUCACAUUAAACUUAUAAAUAAUUGGUCUUGUCUACAGUAGAUGUCAUAAGAUUUCUGGGUUUUCAUUUCCUUUCUUUCUUCACAAUUUUCAUGACACUUAUGCUUCUCCCACCAUUCAAAUGGUUUACUUGGACAUCUUAAUUAGUUUCUUCGAUCUCGGUUGAUGAGUUAUAAUGGGAAAAUAUAGAGAAGCAAAAUGGCAUCUUUUUUAUUUUUGAAUUCUCUGCAGUUGUUGCCUCAAUGUUCAUUUCUUCAUCACCAAUUCUGCCAGCAGUAUGCUGGAAGUAACAGUAGUACUGUUUUACAACUAGCUAAGUAUUCCUUCUUAAUAAAAAUUCUGCACAUGCAGGUUAAUCAAUCAACUGAGAGUUGUUAUCCAGUUGUUUUUUCACAAGAUAAAAUUUUUUAAGACAAAUAUUGAGAUGGAGACAGAGAAGAAGAUGCCUAACAGACAAACUGCUUUAUUUUAAUAUUAGGACCAAAGUCCACAACACAAGAGCUACAAAAGAAAGUAAUAAACCCUCUUAUUCUAGGAUGAUUGUAAUGAGGUAAAUGAACAUCACAAAUAGUCAUUCAAGCAAGCAAAUCAAAGGUUCAUAGCUUCUUCAUUUUCUCUAUUUCCCCACUAGAAUCGUGCUUGAAGGAAUUCAACCACCUUCUUGUCCAACUGGAAGGCCUUUGCCAGGAAAUCAGGAUUGAUUGGUGGAUUGGAUCCAAACACUGCAUUGGCUAUGGUGAUUACACCUGGAUUUUGGCUGCUCAGACCAGCAAUGGCUACUGCAUUCAUGUGCCCAAUAUUGAAUUGGAAGUGAAUGAGACCAAUAGGGAACACAAAAACAUCACCCUUGUUGAGGACUUUGCUAAAGAGGCGGUUUUGAGGGUUGGAUGUGACAAAGCCAACUAAGAGAGUUCCCUCCAAGACAGUGAGGAUCUCAGUGGCACGAGGGUGAGUGUGAGGAGGGUUUUGACCAUAGGGUGCAUAAUCGAUACGAACCAGUGAUAUCCCAAGAGUGUUCAGUCCUGGUAUCACAUCAACAUUUACUGUAGUGACACUUGAGCCCACUAGAUUUGAUGUGUUUCCUGGAAUAUUCAGCCCUUUAGAGAAGAAAUCCUCGGCGACGGUCAGGUUUGGGUUCUUGCAGAACUUUCCAUUUACAAACACUGCA